rnacentral:lncRNA from 1 species
UGAAGGGCACGACGGUCCGCACGUCGUGUGUUGUUAUGAAACACUGCACAAUCGGUCAAUGCCAGAAAAACUGUUCAGCGCGUGGAUAUGAUGAGGAUAGAAGCACUUGUGUAUCCUUCGAAGGUGACAACUGCUGCUGCUUCAAGAAGGGAACACCGCCACCAAGAUGAUAUACAAACCAUCCUUGCUAAUGUCAAAUAAGACUAUUUGAUGUAGCUGAUGUAGAAAUAAACUUUAAACUUCACUCCAUGAAUGCAAGGAUUAAAAGGGAACUCACCAAUACAUAUAAAAGUUUAUGCUCACUUAGUGAUACACAUGCAUGUCUCGGCUUGCCACGAAGUCCUCUCUAGGAACCGUUGUCAACAUCCUCCCCUCCUUUAUGAAGGAACACAUCGACCAUGGCUAGCAGGUCGCCUCUUCAACUACCCUUCUUCUUAAUGAAUUCGCACGCAAUCUCUCGGGGUUGUGGACCAGGCUGAAAUCAGCAAACAAAAUGUUGUUGUAUGCAUGUUUGUUGAUGAUUUUUGACGCCCACAUGGAUGCUUGUUGAUGAUUGUUGUUAUGUACAUGUUUGUGAUGUAUUGAGAAAAGAAACGGUGCCAUCUGCUUCCUACUGCAAUGUAGAUUUUUUUAUAGCAUUCAAGUUCUAUUGAAAUAAUUCCUCCAUACAAAAAUUAUGCCUAUUGAGUUUUAAAUUCCACCGAUUAAUUCAAUUAAUAGGCCAACUCAUCGAUUAAUCGCUACUCCCAAAUCGAACGAGCAGCUACCAGUUAAUGAUUUCCUCAACAUUAGUUGCAAGGAAUGCAAUUUAAUGCAUCAAUAAAAGCAAAUCCUUGGCCCACUAACACUUGGAUAUUGCGUUGUUGCCGGCUGCCAUGUGCAGCUCCUUUUAAGAGGUUUUUGUGGUAGUUUGGUGGGGCCUUAGUAGCUUCUAUUUGUUGGAAGAGUUUGUUCCAUUGAUCACUCUGGUACUGCUCGUCCUCACAAAGACGCUUUUUCUCACUCUCUUUUUUCUGGAGGUAUCGACUAGCCUUGGCCGCAACGCAUCAUGGUUAGGGCAAUUGAGCGACUCGUCCAAGAUGUCAUCGUCGUCAGGGUCGAGGCUGCUUCGUGGCUUGUCGAUCUCAUCGUUGGGAUUGGCGUUAUUAUCGCCGUUGUUAUUUUUGCCUCUGUUGUUGCCGCUGCCUCCCACCACCAUUACUCGCGAUUCCACCUCUGUUGUUACUGUCGUUACUGCCUCCGCCGUUGUUGGGGAUGCCGCCUCCGUCGUUGGGGGUAUCUACUAUGUAGAAAUCAUAGUGGAGGUUGCCGUCCACUUCCCCACGGGCAUGGUGUCUGUUGGCGGCUAUCCGAGGACUCCCCGCCCCCCUCAUCCAUGCCAUCGACUUCGCCAGAGGUGCUUGCAAGGACUUCAGUGAGGUCAUCGAUAUUGGCCACUAGGUGGGUGGUGGGUGGGCCAAAAAUUCCAGCUUUUCUAGGAGACUCCCGGAUCCGAUCGUAAACCAAGGCCUGGUCGUGGGAUAUUGUGAUCCUCUGAAUUAGAUCUAAUAUCUCAUUCAAGAGAGACUUCUUGCACUCCUCCUGGGUUCGGUCCGUCGAUGGGACCGUUGGGAUUUUUCCUAUGAUCCAAUCUGACAUGGAUCCAGGUUCUUUGUUGCCGGCCAGAUCGAGCGCUUAGCCUUGGGGCGAUGUCAUCGGAUCAUGACUCAUGGUUCGGUCCGAUGAGUUAUCCUUGCUUUUAUCCUGGUUCAUAUUUGGCAUCGAAAUAAGCGCUUCAGCCUAGUCCUCAGUAUGGUGUGACACCCAGCUUUAGAUGCCGUGACCCCCUUCUCGGUGAAACACUUUGUCUCCUCAAGUCCGAGCCGCAAUUCCUUAGCAUUUUUGCAGCGGCGGGCGUCCAUCUCGUCCGAGGUCAAGGACCGGCGUAGAACACAACAGACAAGCCCUGUCCUCGUCAGAUUCAGAGGGUUGGGGCACUAGUGCGGAUCUGCAAGACCCGCAGACGGACCGUCUAGAUCCGUCCCUGGCCACUUGCCUCGCGCGACGAGCUGUGAGCGCCUCUGACACAGAGAGUCGAGGUAGGCUCGGUGGUGACAAGGACUGGCACCCAUCGCCGGACAGGAGGAGCAGGGCCAAAGCUGACGGGCGCCACUAGACGUUGACCGCCUCACCAGGGAGCGCACGAACCGCAAUGAGCUGGCUCGGUCGAGCGCAGCGCUAGAGCUUCCCUGUCAGACCGUCGAGUAGGGCUCACACUCCAACGGGCUUCCACCCUAAUCCACCCGUGAUCGGUGGAGGGCGAUGUGGAUGGCCAGAUCCUCGUCGGUGUCCCAAUCCAUGGGUUCGGACAAGGAGCCGCUGCUAGAUCCGACCCCUUGAUGAUGGGUUGGGUUAUCUAUGUAUGGAUCGCUCCUUGCUUCAGACGGCAGUGAGGGUCUGGUAUGAUUCUACGGAACUAAUUUGAAGAUGUUAUAUACACAUCUCGCCACAUUUUGUUCAACCGCAAUGAGUCCACUUGUAGCUGAGAUUAGUGCUCUGAUGGAAGGUGUUGCUUUGACAGUUUAGCAUAUCAGGGCAUCGUCGAUUGUCCAAUCUAAUUGCUCGGUUGCACUGAAUGCUAUGGUUGAUCACAGUCUUGAUUCCUGCUAUGGACAUGUUAUGAAUGCAAUUAAAGUUACUUUGGAAGACCGUGAGUUUAUCAUCCAGAAAAUUAGAUUGAGCAAAUUAGGGUUGUCGUCUUCUUAGCGAAUUGUGGUAGAGCUGAGGGGGACGAACCAUGUGUUUGUUGCGUCACUCACCUGAAUUUAUCUCAAGGCUAUUGCUAGUCGAUUGUAACCAUGUUACUGCCAUACAGGAAUAAAACUCAAUGCUUUCCAUCACAAAAAGGCAAACAAAAGUUAGAAAAGGAGAUGUGAUAAAGGAAACAAUUAAUGAGAACACAUAAAUGGUGAGAUUCUGGAUGGAUAUGUGUGAUAGUAUUUAAGGAUAGAGUUAAUAACGUCCAAACAAAGAAAAAAAUAUCAAUGCCCAUGGAGUAUAAAAGAUCACAUUUAUUGGAUGGAUAUGGAGUACUAUGUGCUAUUUAAGGAUAGAGUUUAAAAGAUCACUUUUAUUGGAUGGAUAUGUGUGCUAUUUCAGAAUAGAGUUUAUAACGUCCAAAUAAAGAAAAAAUAAUCAAUGCCCAUGGAGUUAUAUAAACACUAGGCAUAGGGACAUAGCUGCUACGACAUAUAUUGACAAGAACAGUAGAAGAACAACAAGAAAGCUAGCUACUCAAGUACUCCGAAUGGCGCUUAUCAAGAACAUCGGGCAGGCUAUGUGCCUGCUGGCUCUUGUUGUCAUGUCUACCACUUCCCUGCCCUCUCUUGUAGAAGGAAGGAUCAUGGGUACAUUUCUUUCAUCUUCUUUUCUCUUAAUAUUUUCGUACACAUUUGGAUGUUAGUAACUGGGAAGUUACUAUUGUGAUCCCAUGCGUGCAGAUACGAAGGGCAAGAUGCCCGACAAGUUGUGUUUUGUUAUGAAACGCUGCACACUCAGUCUAUGCCAGAAACUAUGUUUCGCACAUGGAUAUGAUAAGGGUCAAAGCGACUGCAUAUCUUUCACAAAAAACCAGUGUUGCUGCUUCGCGAAGGGAACGCCGUCAUUAACAUGAUGGAUAACAUACACACCAUCCCCUGCGAAUGUCAAAUAAGACUAUUCGACUUUAUUGAUGAAGAAGAUUCAAUAAAAUUUAAACUUUAUCUAGUAAUUAUUGGUUAAUGUAUAACUGCCAAGUGUGAGCAAGUGAGUCGUUGUGUGUGGAGUGGAAUCGUUCAUGUAUCUUUGCACAUGGUCUCAUUCUUCGAUAAAGAGCUCUUUUAUUAACUUAAAACAUAGUAUCAAAUAGAUACAAAGCAUAGCGAGUAAUGCUGACCUCUGCAUAGCUAGGAUACACACAAACCAACACAGACAAUAAUCUGACAAAAAAGCUGACAUGUUGGCACUAGUAAAUUCGUAUAAGACCGACAUUACGCCCAUACCGAAGGAGUUGGUGGACCAAUCCGAAGAUUAUGUUGGCACCCUUUGUCCUUCAUUAGGCAUGAAUGUUUGAUUGGACCAAAAUUGGGGGGGGGGAGACAACACAACCCUUUGUCCUUCGUAGAAGAAAUUCUUCAUAACAAGUACUAUUGUAUAUAUGUGCGAUUCAAUCAUCCCUUAGUUUUUAUUUUUAUUUCAAAAUCUUUACGAGAUAUUACUCAUAAUUCUAAUAAGAGAUGCAUCAACAAUGAUUUGUGGGAAACAUCCAAAGCAACUCAAGGACUUUGGAGCUUAGACGACAAGCCUAAACCGGAUAAGUACCAGAUAAGUAGGUUUUUUGAAAGAAAAACCGGAUGGUCUUGGAGAACGGACUACGGAACAUAGUUUAGCUUGCGAGUUGCAAACAACCGAGUAUCCUUUGGAGUAGUAUAUUUACUCCUCAAAAUACGUGCGGUUUCUAACCAAACCCCUAGACUUAACUCCCUAAAACUUACAUCUGGCUCAUACAUUUCGCCAAACAUUUGCUAUGCUCUCUGCGGUGAGCGGCGACCAUGAUGACCACGUCGAGACUAACAACACUGACGAGGAAGACGCAUCAUCAGUGACCCCCAGGACGUGCGGUCAUGUCCCUCUUCUUCCCCGACGUUGGAUUCUUCCACCCAGGAGGCAACAAUGGAUAGGUCACCUCCUCUAUCUCACCUUCGUCUGAUGCAUCUCGAGCUCCAGCCACCGAAGCCUGCUCCUUGUUCUUGUUGUUGUUCCACUUCCCCAGCCCUCACCUAGCUCACCAUCGACCUCCCCAAGUGAGCCAUGUCUCUUUCCACCACUUUGUCUCUGUUUCAUGUCAUUUGUGUGCCGUCCCGCUCUAAUUCGCACAUGGGUGCCAUAGCCGGAGCUUUGAAGAUCGAUAGACUGGUCCCGCUCGAAAGACCUUGGAAUAGUUGAUGUUAUCUUGAACAUCAAGUUUUUGAGAGGUGAUAAUGGUGGGACAACACUGUUGCAAUCUCACUAUGUGGAGAAGGUUCUGAGUCGCUUUGGAUAUAUGAAAGGAUAAUGUGCUAUAUGAAAGGUACUUCGAGUUAUGGACUUCACUAUACUGGGUAACCAAGGGUACGCGAGGGAUAUAGUGAUGAAAAUUGGAUAUCUGAUGUUGAUGAGUUUAAAGCUACAAGUGGUUAUGUGCCACUUAAUGGUGGUGCUAUUUCCUAGAAGUCUUGCCAGCAUACCAUCUUAAUGACGGCAAUAAUGGAAGCAAAACUCACAGCAUUAGACACAACAAUUGUUGAAGUAGAGUGGCUUCGAGAACUCUUGAUAGACUUGCCGGUGAUUCAAAAGCCAAUAAAAAAUAUCAUAAGAAUUAUGAUAAUCAAACGAUGAUAGUCAAGGUAAAUGGUUAUAAGGAUAAUAAGAAGUCAUCAAGACAUGUGGGAAGGAUAAUGAAAGCUUCAGAUUUAUAAAAAAAACUUUAAAUUUAUAGGUAUAAAGUUAUAAACACAUCAAAGAAUUUGGCAGACCCCCUCACAAAGGGUUUAGCAUGGAAUAUUGUAUGCAUAGAGGGAGAUGGGAUCGAGACCCACUACAUAAGUAGUUCAUGGUGGUAACCAUUCUAUGUGAUCGAAGAUCUCGUGAAUUAUGAAUUAGAAUUGAUGAGACAAGCUAUUGGGUAAAUGUGAGGGGAGUACUUACUUUUAUCCACUCUGUUACGAUGCAAAUUGUUGGAAAUAUGCCCUAGAGGCAAUAAUAAAUAGGUUAUUAUUAUAUUUCCUUGUUUAUGAUAAUCGUUUAUUAUCCAUGCUAGAAUUGUAUUGAUGGGAAACUCAGAUACAUGUGUGGAUACAUAGACAACACCAUGUCCCUAGUAAGCCUCUAGUUGACUAGCUCGUUGGUCAAUAGAUGGUUACGGUUUCCUGACCAUGGACAUUGGAUGUCGUUGAUAACGGGAUCACAUCAUUAGGAGAAUGAUGUGAUGGACGAGACCCAAUCCUAAGCCUAGCACAAGAUCGUGUAGUUCGUUUGCUCAGAGCUUUUCUAAUGUCAAGUAUCAUUUCCUUAGACCAUGAGAUUGUGCAACUCCCGGAUACCGUAGGAAUGCUUUGGGUGUACCAAACGUCACAACAUAAUUGGGUGGCUAUAAAGGUGCACUACAGGUAUCUCCGAAAGUGUCUGUUGGGUUGGCACGAAUCGAGACUGGGAUUUGUCACUCCGUGUAAACGGAGAGGUAUCUCUGGGCCCACUCGGUAGGACAUCAUCAUAAUGUGCACAAUGUGACCAAUGAGUUGAUCCCGGGAUGAUGUGAGUUACGGAACGAGUAAAGAGACUUGCCGGUAACGAGAUUGAACAAGGUAUAGGGAUACCGACGAUCGAAUCUCGGGCAAGUAACAUAUCGAUAGACAAAGGGAAUUGCAUACGGGAUUGAUUGAAUCCCCGACAUCGUGGUUCAUCCGAUGAGAUCAUCGUGGAACAUGUGGGAGCCAACAUGGGUAUCCAGAUCCCGUUGUUGGUUAUUGGCCGGAGAACAUCUCGGCCAUGUCUGCAUGGUUCCCGAACCCGUAGGGUCUACACACUUAAGGUUCGAUGAUGCUAGGGUUAUAGGGAAUAGAUAUAUGUGGUUACCGAAUGUUGUUCGGAGUCCCGAAUGAGAUCCCGGACGUCACGAGGAGUUCCGGAAUGGUCCGGAGGUAAAGAUUUAUAUAUGGGAAGUCCUAUUUUGGUCACCGGAAAAGUUUUGUGUGAUAUCGGUAAUGUACCGGGACCACCGGGAGGGUCCCGGGGGUCCACCAAGUGGGGCCACCAGCCCCAGAAGGCUGCGUGGGCCAAGUGUGGGAGGGGACCAGCCCUAGGUGGGCUGGUGCGCCCCCCCACCAAGGCCCAAGCGCAUGGGAGAGUGGGAGGGGGCAAACCCUAGGUCCAGAUGGGCCUUGAGGCCCACCCUAGUGGCGCCCCCCCUCUCCUCCCCUUGGCCGGCCCCCUUGGAUGGGAUCUAGGGCUGGCCGCCUCCUCUUGGGGUAGGAACCCUAGAGGGGGGCGCAGCCCCCUCCCCCCUAUAUAUAGUUGAGGUUUGGGCUGCCCAAGACACAGGAGAACGUCUCCUUUUCGGCGCAGCCCUACCCCUCUCCCUCCUCCUCCUCUCCCGCGGUGCUUGGCGAAGCCCUGCGGGAUUGCCACGCUCCUCCAUCACCACCAUGCCCUUGUGCUGCUGCUGGAUGGAGUCUUCCCAACCUCUCCCUCUCGCCUUGCUGGAUCAAGGCGUGGGAGACGUCACCGGGCUGCACGUGUGUUGAACGCGGAGGCACCGUUCUUCGGUGCUUAGAUCGGAAUCAACCGUGAUCUGAAUCGCUACGAGUACGACUCCUUCAUCCGCGUUCUUGCAACGCUUCCGCAUCGCGAUCUACAAGGGUAUGUAGAUCCACUCCCCUUCCCCUCGUUGCUAGAGUACUCCAUAGAUUGAUCUUGGUGAUGCGUAGAAAAUUUUGAAUUUCUGCUACGUUCCCCAACAGUGGUAUCAGAGCUAGGUCUAUGCGUAGUUUCUAUGCACGAGUAGAACACAAAGCAGUUGUGGGCAUAGAUGUUGCCAAUUCUUCUUGCCGCUACUAGUCUUAUCUUGUUUCGGCGGCAUUGUGGGAUGAAGCGGCCCGGACCGACCUUACACGUACGCUUACGUGAGACAGGUUCCACCGACUGACAUGCACUAGUUGCAUAAGGUGGCUAGCGGGUGUCUGUCUCUCCCACUAUAGUUGGAACGGAUUCGAUGAAAAGGGUCCUUAUGAAGGGUAAAUAGAAAUUGGCAUAUCACGUUGUGGUUUUACGUAGGUAAGAAAUGUUCUUGCUAGAAACCUAUACAAGCCACGUAAAAACUUGCAACAACAAUUAGAGGACGUCUAACUUGUUUUUGCAGCAUGUGCUAUGUGAUGUGAUAUGGCCAGAAGAUGUGAUGAAUGAUAUAUGUGAUGUAUGAGAUUGAUCAUAUUCUUGUAAUAGGAAUCACGACUUGCAUGUCGAUGAGUAUGACAACCGGCAGGAGCCAUAGGAGUUGUCUUUAUUUUUUGUAUGACCUGCGUGUCAUUGAAUAACGCCAUGUAAAUUACUUUACUUUAUUGCUAAGUGUGUUAGCCAUAGAAGUAGAAGUAAUCGUUGGUGUGACAACUUCAUGAACACACAAUGAUGGAGAUCAUGAUGAUGGAGAUCAUGGUGUCAUGCCGGUGACAAAGAUGAUCAUGGUGCCCCGAAGAUGGAUAUCAAAGGAGCAAAAUGAUAUUGGCCAUAUCAUGUCACUAUUUGAUUGCAUGUGAUGUUUAUCAUGUUAUGCAUCUUAUUUGCUUAGAACGACGGUAGUAAGUAAGAUGAUCCCUUACUAAAAUUUCAAGAGAAGUGUUCCCCCUAACUGUGCACCGUUGCGAAGGUUCGUUGUUUCGAAGCACCACGUGAUCAUCGGGUGUGAUAGAUUGUAACGUUCGAAUACAACGGGUGUUGACGAGCCUAGCAUGUACAGACAUGGCCUCGGAACACAUGCGAAACACUUAGGUUGACUUGACGAGCCUAGCAUGUACAGACAUGGCCUCGGAACACAAGAGACCGAAAGGUCGAGCAUGAGUCGUAUAGAAGAUACGAUCAACAUGGAGAUGUUCACCGAUGAUGACUAGUCCGUCUCACGUGAUGAUCGGACACGGCCUAGUUUGACUCGGAUCAUGUAUCACUUAGAUGACUAGAGGGAUGUCUAUCUAAGUGGGAGUUCAUUAAUCAGAUGAACUUAAUUAUCAUGAACAUAGUCAAAAAGUCUUUGCAAAUUAUGUCAUAGCUUGCCCUUUAGUUCUACUGUUUAAGAUAUGUUCCUAGAGAAAAUUUAGUUGAAAGUUGGUAGUAGCAAUUAUGCGGACUGGGUCCGUAAACUGAGGAUUGUCCUCAUUGCUGCACAGAAGGCUUAUGUCCUUAAUGCACCGCUCGGUGUGCUGAACCUCAGCGUCGUCUGUAGAUGUUACGAAACAUCUGACAUACACGUUUUGAUGACUACGUGAUAGUUCAGUGCGUAAUGCUAACGGUUUAGAAUUGUGGCACCAGAGACGUUUUUGAAACGUCGCAGAACAUGUGAGAUGUUCCGAAGACUGAAAUUGGGAUUUCAGACUAGUGCCCACGUCAAGAGGUAUGAGACCUCUAACAAGUUUCUUAAGCCUGCAAACUAAGGGAGAAAGGCUCAAUCGUUGAGCAUGUGCUCAGAUUGUCUGAGUACUACAAUCGCUUGAAUCGAGUGGGAGUUAAUGUCCCAGAUGAGAUAGUGAUAGUUCUCCAUAGUCACUGCCACCAAGCUAGUAGAGCUUCGUGAUGAACUAUAACAUAUCAGGGAUAGUUAUGAUGAUCCUUGAGCUAUUCGCGAUGUUUGACACUGCGAGAGUAGAAAUCAAGAAGGAGCAUCAAUUGUUGAUGGUUAGUAAAACCACUAGUUUCUAGAAGGGCAAGGGCAAAAGGGAUACUUCAUGAAACAGCAAAUCGUUUCCUGCUCUAGUGAAGAAUCCGAAGGUUAAACCCAAACCCGAGACUGAGUGCUUCUGUAAUGAGGGAAACGGUCACUGAAGCAGUACUACCCUAGAUACUUGGUAGAUGAGAAGGCAGGCAAGGUCGACAGAAGUAUAUUGGAUAUACAUUAUAUGAAUGUGUACUUUACUAGUACUCCUAGCAGCACCAGGGUAUUAGAUACCGGUUCGGUUGCUAAGUGUUACUAACUCGAAAUAAAAGCUGCGAAAUAAAUGGAGAAUGGAUAAAGGUGAGAUGACGAUGUGCGUUGGGAGUGUUUCCAAGGUUGAUGUGAUCAAGCAUCGCAUGCUCCCUCUACUAUCGAGAUUUGGUGUUUGCAUUGAGCAUGAUUGGAUUAUGUUUAUCGCAAUACGGUUAUUCAUUUAAGGAGAAUAAUGGUUACUCUUUUAUUUGAAUAAUACCUUCAAUGGUCUUGCACCUAAAAUGACUCUCGAUCGUAGUGAUACACAUGUUCAUGCCAAAAGUAAUGAUAGUACCACAUACUUGUGGCACUGCUAUUUGAGUCAUAUUGGGAUAAAACGCAUGAAGAAGCUCCAUGUAGAUGGAUCUUUGGACUCACUCGUUUUUGAAAAGAUUGAGACAUGCGAACCAUGUCUAUUGGUAUAUAUGCAUGAAGAAACUCCAUGCAGAUGGAUCGUUUGGACUCACUUGAUUUUGAAUCACUUGAGACAUGCAAAUCUUACCACAUGGGCAAGAUGACUGAAAGGCCUCGUUUUCAGUAAGAUGGAACAAGAGAGCAACUUAUUGGAAGUAAUACAUUUUGAUGUAUGCAGUCCAAUGAGUGCUGAGGCAUGCAGUGGAUAUCGUUAUGUUCUUACUUCACAGAUGAUUUGAGUAGAUGCUGAGUGUAUUUACUUGAUGAAACACAAGUCUGAAUUAUUGAAAGGUUCAAGUAAUUUCAGAGUGAAGUUGAAGAUCGUCGUGACAAGAGGAUAAAAUGUCUGUGAUAUGAUCAUAGAGAUGAGUAUCUGAGUUACGAGUUUGGCACACAAUUAAGACAUUGUGGAAAGUGUUUCACAAUUAAUACCGCCUGGAACACCAUAGUGUGAUGGUGUGUCCGAACAUCAUAACUGCACCCUAUUGGAUAUGGUGCAUACCAUGAUGUUUCUUAUCGAAUUACCACUAUCGUUUAUGGGUUAGGCAUUAGAGAAACCGCAUUCACUUUAAAUAGGGCACCACGCAAUUCCGUUGAGACGACACCGUUUAGAGAAACCUAAGUUGUCGUUUCUUAAAAGUUUGGGGCUGCGAUGCUUAUGUGAAAAAGUUUCAGGCUGAUAAGCUCGAACCCAAAGCGGAUAAAUGCAUCUUCAUAGAAAACCCAAAACAGUUGGGUAUACCUCCUAUUUCAGAUCUGGAAAAAAAUGUGAUUGCUUCUAGAAACAGGUCCUUUCACGAGGAAAAGUUUCUCUCGAAAGAAUUGAGUGGGAGGAUGGUGGAGACUUGAUGAGGUUAUUGAACCAUAACUUCAACUAGUGUGUAGCAAGGCACAGGAAGUUGUUCCUGUGGCACCUACACCAAUUGAAGCGGAAGCUUAUGAUAGUGAUCAUGAAACUUCGGAUCAAGUCACUACCAAACCUCGUAGGACGACGAGGAUGCGUACUACUUCAGAGUAAUGCGCAAUCCUGUCUUGGAAGUCAUGUUGUUGGACAACGAUGAACCUAUGAGCUAUGGAGAAGUGAUGGUGGGCCCAUAUUCCGACAAAUGGUUACAAGCCAUGAAAUCCGAGAUAAAUGGAUCUUUGAGAAGAAGACGGACAUGGACGGUAAUGUUACCGUCUAUGAAGCUCGACUUGUGGCAAAGAGUAUUUCCACAAGUUCAAGGAGUUGACUACGAUGAGAUUUUAUCAUCCGUAGCAAUGCUUAAGUUCAUUGGAAUCAUGUUAGCAUUAGCUGCAUUUAUGAAAUCUGGCAGAUGGAUGUCAAAACAAGUUUCUUUACCAGUUUUCGUAAGCAAAGGUUGUAUGUGAUACAAUCAGAAAGGUUUUGUCGAUCCUAAGGAUGCUAAAAGGUAUGCUAGCUCCAGCGAUCCUUCCAUGGAUUAGAGCAAGCAUCUCGGAGUCAGAAUAUACGCUUUGAUGGAGUGAUCAAAGUUUUUGGGUUUAUACAAAGUUUGUUAGAAACUUGUAUUUACAAUAAAGUGAGUGGGAGCGCUGCAACAUUUCUGAUAAGUAUAUGUGAAUGACAUAUUGUUGAUCCGAAAUGAUGUAAAAUUUCUGGAAAGCAUAAAGGGUUGUUUGAAAGGAGUUUUUCAAAGGAAGACCUGGAUAAAGCUGCUUACAUAUUGGGCAUCAAGAUCUAUAGAGAUAGAUCAAGACGCCCGAUGAUACUUUCAAAGAACGCACACCUUGACAUGAUUUUGAAAGAGUUCAAAAUAGAUCAGCAAAGAAGGAGUUCUUGGCUGUGUUACAAGGUGUGAGUAUUGAGUAAGACUCAAGACCUGACCACAGCAGAAGAGAGAGAAAGGACGAAGGUCGUCCCCUAUGCUUCAGACGUAGGCUCUACAGUAUGCUAUGCUGUGUACCGCACAUAAAGUGUGCCUUGCCAUGAGUUGGUCAAGGGGUACAAUAGUCCGGGAAUGGAUCACAUGACAGCGGUCGAACUUAUCCUUAGUAUCCAGUGGACUAAGGAAUUUUCUCGAUUAUGGAGGUGAAAAGGAGUUCGUCGUAAAGGGUUACGUCGAUGCGAACUUUGACACUAAUCCGGAUGACUCUGAGUUGUAGACCGGAUUCGUAUAGUAGAGCAGUUAUUUGAAAUGGCUCCAAGUAGCGCGUGGUAGCAUCCACAAGAUGACAUAGAUAUUCGUAAAGCACACACGGAUCUGAAAGGUUCAGACCCGUUGACUAAUAACCUCUCUCACAAGCAUAACAUGAUCAAACCAGAACUCAUUGAGUGUUAAUCACAUAGUGAUGUGAACUAGAUUGUUGACUCUAGUAAAUUCUUUGGAUGUUGGUCACAUGGUGAUGUGACCUGUGAGUGUUAAUCACAUGGUGAUGUGAACUAGAUUAUUGACUCUAGUGCAAGUGGGAGACUGUUGGAAAUAUGCCCUAGAGGCAAUAAUAAAUAGGUUAUUAUUAUAUUUCCUUGUUUAUGAUAAUCGUUUAUUAUCCAUGCUAGAAUUGUAUUGAUGGGAAACUCAGAUACAUGUGUGGAUACAUAGACAACACCAUGUCCCUAGUAAGCCUCUAGUUGACUAGCUCGUUGAUCAAUAGAUGGUUACGGUUUCCUGACCAUGGACAUUGGAUGUCAUUGAUAACGGGAUCACAUCAUUAGGAGAAUGAUGUGAUGGACGAGACCCAAUCCUAAGCCUAGCCCAAGAUCGUGUAGUUCGUUUGCUCAGAGCUUUUCUAAUGUCAAGUAUCAUUUCCUUAGACCAUGAGAUUGUGCAACUCCCGGAUACCGUAGGAAUGCUUUGGGUGUACCAAACGUCACAACGUAACUGGGUGGCUAUAUAGGUGCACUACAGGUAUCUCCGAAAGUGUCUGUUGGGUUGGCACGAAUCGAGACUGGGAUUUGUCACUCCGUGUAAACGGAGAGGUAUCUCUGGGCCCACUCGGUAGGACAUCAUCAUAAUGUGCACAAUGUGACCAAGGAGUUGAUCACGGGAUGAUGUGAGUUACGGAACGAGUAAAGAGACUUGCCGGUAACGAGAUUGAACAAGGUAUAGGGAUACCGACGAUCGAAUCUCGGGCAAGUAACAUAUCGAUAGACAAAGGGAAUUGCAUACGGGAUUGAUUGAAUCCCCGACAUCGUAGUUCAUCCGAUGAGAUCAUCGUGGAACAUGUGGGAGCCAACAUGGGUAUCCAGAUCCCGCUGUUGGUUAUUGGCCGGAGAACGUCUCGGCCAUGUCUGCAUGGUUCCCCAACCCGUAGGGUCUACACACUUAAGGUUCGAUGACGCUAGGGUUAUAGGGAAUAGAUAUACGUGGUUACCCAAUGUUGUUUGGAGUCCCGGAUGAGAUCCCGGACGUCACGAGGAGUUCCGGAAUGGUCCGGAGGUAAAGAUUUAUAUAUGGGAAGUCCUGUUUUGGUCACCGGAAAAGUUUCGGGUGAUAUCGGUAAUGUACCGGGACCACCGGGAGGGUCCCGGGGGUCCACCAAGUGGGGCCACCAGCCCCAGAAGGCUGCGUGGGCCAAGUGUGGGAGGGGACCAGCCCCAGGUGGGCUGCUGCGCCCCCCCACCAAGGCCCAAGCGCAUGGGAGAGUGGGAGGGGGCAAACCCUAGGUCCAGAUGGGCCUUGAGGCCCACCCUAGUGGCGCCCCCUCUCCUCCCCUUGGCCGCCCCCCUUGGAUGGGAUCUAGGGCUGGACGCCUACUCUUGGGGUGGGAACCCUAGAGGGGGGCGCAGCCCCCUCCCCCCAUAUAUAGUUGAGGUUUGGGCUGCCCAAGACACACGAGAACGUCUCCUUUUCGGCGCAGCCCUACCCCUCUCCCUCCUCCUCCUCUCCCGCGGUGCUUGGCGAAGCCCUGCGGGAUUGCCACGCUCCUCCAUCACCACCAUGCCGUUGUGCUGCUGCUGGAUGGAGUCUUCCCCAACCUCUCCCUCUCGCCUUGCUAUAUCAAGGCGUGGGAGACGUCACCGGGCUGCACGUGUGUUGAACGCGGAGGCACCGUUCUUCGGUGCUUAGAUCGGAAUCAACCGCGAUCUGAAUCGCUACGAGUACGACUCCUUCAUCCCCGUUCUUGCAACGCUUCCGCAUCGCGAUCUACAAGGGUAUGUAGAUCCACUCCCCUUCCCCUCGUUGCUCGAGUACUCCAUAGAUUGACCUUGGUGAUGCGUAGAAAAUUUUGAAUUUCUGCUACGUUCCCCAACACAAAUUUCUCCUGAUCUGUAUGGCAGGUUGAUAUUUACCUUAAUGUGUUCUGAAUGGCUUGUCUAGGCAAAGAUGUUGUCGUGUGGAACACCUUGAAAGAAAGUACCUAUAUGAGUUAAACUGUUAAACAUUGAGUCUAUGAGAGUAUGACGUAUAUGCUCCUACAUGCGGGAAAGCUUUUGAACGGUCUAUGAGAGUAUGACGUAUAAUUAUUGAGAGACCAAUCCCUUUUACGGACCAGUAAGGAAGAAUUCCUUCUCACUGGUAGACAACAUCUUGGUCACAGAAGAAAAAAUACCAGGAGUACUGGAUAUAAUACAAGACUGAGCGGAGACUGCCCAACAAUUUAUUACAUGCACGCCGAUAAAACAAGACGGCGGAUAGGGUGGCAUAACUACUAACUCACGAUAAUAACGGUGGUGGAAAUAUCACCGCGAAGCGAGUGAUAUGACUCCUGAAGACUACAGCUCUUCGAGCGUCGGAGUGAGGCUUGAGGAGGCUUAUUGCGGGUGGCGGAAGCGUAUAUAAUACAAGUGACCAAUAUCCGGGAUCGUGCAGGACUGACUGGGACUCCUCUAGGCGUCGGACGCGCUAUCAAACUCUUCAUCCAAGAGAGCGCCUUCGUCAACAUCUGGCCAAAUCAACAAGCCAGGUGAGUACUAUGAAAGUACUCGCAAGACAGUUCGGACAUAAGAUGUAACAAAUGUAACCAUGAAGCAUAUGAACAAGUUAACCAGUGCGUUCAGACAUAGAGAUAAUAAAUACUGGGUGCCAAACGAGGGUCUGAAUGACUCCUCGAGAGGAAACUGCAAGAAUAGUAAUACUGGUGCCAAAUGAGGGUCUGAAUGACUCCUCGAGAGGAAACUGCAAGAACAAUAAUACUGGUGCCAAACGAGGGUCUGAAUGACUCCUCGAGAGGAAACUACAAGAAUAAUAAUACUGGUGCCAAACGAGGGUCUGAAUGACUCCUCGAGAGGAAACUGCAGAAUAGUAAUGCCACAGUCGGGCGUCGGGGCGACACCACAUAAAGGGCUUAUAUUGCAAGUAAUAUACAAGACAUACCACAGUCGGACGUCUGAGCGACAUCACAUAAAGGGCUUAUAUUGUAGCUUAAUAAUACAGUAGCUCGAGAACAUAAAUUAUUACAAGUACGAAACAAAUAUGAGGUUAGUCCAUCCGCAGAAAUAGCAAAUAAAACUGGGUUACCACUGGAGCUUGUUCGCCGGGAAUAUAUUUCCACGAGGAUAGAUACAGAUGUACCGAUUACUCUACUUGAUCACGGAUAUGAUGACUUGGAAGGAUUUGACUCUGUAGAGUUUGUACAUAAGCACAGCCAACGGAUUUCCAUAGUCACAGGGACUAGUUCCGUUUACGGUGUUUUGGAAGAAACACAUCUAACCAGUACACACCCUUUCAAUCUUCCGAAGCCAAGGAUCACCCUCGGCAACGUUCAAGAAAAACCUUGAGACGGGGAGGCUACAACCUCGCGUAGCAUGGGAUCAAAUUUCUAUACGCGCGCUCUAAGGGGGUGCCGCCCCUCUCGGUCCCAACCGGAAACACCCAUGCCCCCUGACCGGAUGACUGGCUUUAAUCCUGGGCCAAGGAACCAUCAUCCCGGCCCCUCUGUUUGGUGUGUACACGGAAAGAGGUUACCAACUUACUAAACCGCAUCUUGGCAAAGAAACACGUGGUAGCACGGAAGGGAAAAGAACGAUAACGUGACUCCGUCCACGUUAACGUCGGAAUUUGUCGGAUGACGCAAGGCUGGUAUGCUACAACAGUACCACCUUGCUGCCCUUCAUGUCACCACAUGAUUAGGCCAUCUCUCAUCAGAGAUCAUCGCAACUUUGGAACAUGCGGGUAGUUGCCUCACAAGCAACGAGGUACUCACCGACACUCAUAUGCCAUGCACAAACUUUCAUGCAAACAUGUAAAACACCUAUCAUAUCAAAGGUUCAAAGAUGCUUGCCUGGUUCGGAGAAGUCGGAGUCUAGCUUGGCGAAGUUCGUGGCUCCGUCACCUCUUCCGGAACCUACGGCAUAACGAAAACGGGUACUAACGUGAAAACCAACGUGUGCACAGAAAAUUCUCCAAACAAUUUCCAAUAAAUCCCAUAAAAAAUAGACAAAAUUUUAAGACUGUCAGAAAAAGAAUCACUCAAAAAUUCCUUUUUAUUAAAAAGUUAUAAAGUUUUCUGUCCAAGGACUCAUCUGUAAUGAAACAGAAAAGUUCCAGGGUUUAAACUGAGAAACCAGAAAACGCUUCGGAAAGAAAUGCGCUAGCUAAAGAGGGAAAGCGUAUUUUGCCCGAAGUCGCUAACAGAAAACGGUUCGAGGGAGAAUAGAACAGAGGCUGACAUGGGGGUCCACAUGUCAGGUUUAAAAAGCUCGCCGGCGCCCGAAGACUGCGGUGGACGCCGGCGUCGAACCACGGCGAGUCAGGAGGAUCGGAGAGUACCAAGAGCUUCAGCGUGUCCUUCCGCGUCGGUGGGUGGUGGACUCGACCGUCGGAGAGCACCACGUCGACGGCGACACUUUCUCCGGCAGAUGGCGGCUCGGGUGAUGGUGGGGAACUCCGGUGGUGAGCUGCAAACCUCGAAUUGAAGCGCGGGUCAGAAGAGUGGAUGCAUAGGGAAGCUACUGGCAAAAGGUGGGAGGCUGAGGUGCACGCAUGGGAGCGAAUCGAGCUGGAUCCCGUGGCGGGUCGCGGCGGCCGGAGUUGAGGAAGGAGACCUCCUCGGGGCUCUUCCAGUGGCUAGGCGUGCUCUAGGUGGAGUGCAGGGAUGGUGUGGGUUCGAGUUGAAGCUCGGGGCCUCUAUUUAUAGGCGGAUCGAGGGGGUGGCCGUGAACGGAGAAUCUCCGGCGAGCAAUUACGGCGAUGGGGUGGAUGAGCAGGUGGUUUGAGUGGCCAGGCAGCAUCAGUGAGGUUUACUGGUGCCGUUCCACUGCUAAACUGAGUUGGUCUUGGCGUAAUGGCGUCGGUCCACGGUGGGGUGGCCGCACGGGCACGUCGGCGGCAGAGAGCGCGCUCCGCGCCCAGCGGUUCACGACGAGGGUGGCAGCGCGUUCUGGGGAGUGGAAGGCCACGCGGCGAGCUCCGGUGGCUUGGGCGGCGCUGGGUGGCGCCGACUGCGCCGCGCCUCUCUCUGGCGGCCGCAAAGCCGCCGCUGGCGUCGGUCACGGGGCGGCGCACCUCCUCCUGCUCGUCGCCGACGUCCGCAAGCGUCCAGGCGCUCGUGCAGUGCAGGAACAAGGGGGAGGGAAUGGGGAGCAAGGCGACAUCGGGGCACUGUCGAGAUCGACAACAAGUUCUGAAGAAAACGACAGUAGCACUGAAAUGUUCUCUGAACUUUUCUGAACCUGAUUUUGACAAUGCACUGCAGGUGUUCGAUAGAAUGAUUUGGCAAUGAGAAAAACUUUCCUGGGGCUGGGACUUGGUGAGGUGACCACUCAAUGCACCCAGAGGCUGCCUGAUUUUACUUGGAAUUUUUGGAGAAGGAUUUGAAUGAAUUUCACCAAAUUUGACAAAUCUGGUCCAAACUUGCAGCAAGUGUAGUUUGAAAAAUUUGAACUGAAGACCAGUGGAUCUUCAUGGAUCUUGGUUGAGGGUUCAAAGGACUAGGAAGGGGAAUUGGUUUGGGGGCAAAAAUCAAAGCAGAGAUGGUAGCUCCUUUGUAAAUCUCCAAGGGCUAGAAUAGAAGGCAGAAAUUUAUUUGAUAAGUUUUAAAAGGAAAAAUAAUCAUAGGGGGAGGUUCAACUUGCUGGAUUUGAUGCAAAACAUGAUCCAAAGAUGAGGGGAGGGUUAGGAGAGUGGAUUUGCACUAAGGCCAUGGCAAGAGGGAAUUGUUGAAAGUGGUAAAGGAUCAUUCCAAAAGCCAUAGUGCAAUUUCAAAGAGAUUUUCAAAAGGCAUUUUUCUCAAGUGAAAAGCAUUUUGCCUUGAGUCUAAAUAAAAAGCAAGAACCUCCAAGACCAAAACAAAUCUUGGGUGAAUCCAAAUAAAACUCUUUCCAUAAAAAAAAAUUUGAAAGGGAGAGUUCCUUGAAGAAAAAUUUAAAUCACCUCUCUCAAGUCAAAUAAAUUUUUGAAAAAUCCAAAUAAAAUUUUGGGUGUCACAACACCUACCCCCUUAGGAAAAAUCUCGUCCUCGAGAUUUCUGCUGAUCCUCAAAUAGAUAUGGAUACUCUGCCUGGAGAAAAUCUUCCCUUUCCCAUGUAGCUUCAUCCUCAGUGUGGUUGCUCCACUGAACUCUGAAAAAUUUUGUCGUUUUCUGACGGGUCCUCCUUUCAGAUUCCUCCAAUAUCUUUACCGGCCGCUCUCUGUAGGUGAGAUCUGGUUGUACAUCAAUGCUCUCAUGAGAUACAUGCUUCUCCGGGUUACUCACACAUUUUCUCAAUUGUGAGACGUGGAAUACGUCAUGGACGUCUGACAGCUCCUUGGGUAGGUCUAGUUGGUAGGCUACCGUGCCUCUUCGUGCCUUUACACAAAAUGGUCCAAUAAAUCUUGGGGCUAGCUUCCCCUUAAUUUUGAACCAUUGCAGACCCCUCAUAGGAGAUACUCGGAGGUAUACUGAAUCACUGGGUUCGAAGCUGACCUCACGAUGCUUCUGAUCAUAGUAGCUCUUUUGCCGGCUCUGUGCUGUCUUGAGUCGGUCCCUGAUCUGCUUAACUUUUUCCUCGGCCUCUUUAAGCAUGUCUGGGCCGAAGAUACGGCUGUCACCUGUUUCUGACCAAUUCAGUGGGGUACGACACCUUCGUCCGUACAAUGCUUCAAAGGGUGCCAUUUGCAAGCUGGCUUGGUAACUGUUGUUGUAUGCAAACUCGGCAUACGGCAAACUCUCUUCCCAACUGGACCCAUAGGUGAGCACACAGGCUCUCAGCAUAUCCUCUAGGAUUUGGUUUACCCGUUCCGUUUGUCCAUCUGUCUGAGGGUGGUAUGCUGUACUGAAAGCUAGUUGCGUGCCCAGAGCUUGUUGUAGGUGAUCCCAAAAUUUGGAGACGAAUUGUGUGCCUCGGUCGGAUAUUAUAGUCUUUGGGACUCCAUGCAAGCAAACUAUACGGGAGAGAUAAAGUUUUGCCAGCCUUUGUGUGGAGUAGGUAGUCUUCACGGGAAUGAAAUGAGCAACCUUGGUUAGUCGGUCUGUGAUGACCCAUAUGGCGUCAUUUCCACGUUGUGAUCGGGGUAGUCCGACGAUGAAAUCCAUUCCUAUUUCAUCCCAUUUCCACUCCGGUAUCCUGUUUGGCUGGAGUAGCCCUGCUGGCUUUUGAUGCUCGGCCUUGAUGCGCUGACAUGAAUCGCAACAAGCAAUAAAUGCGGCUAUAUCUCUUUUCAUACUGUGCCACCAAAAUCUUUCCUGAAUGUCUUUGUACAUUUUGGUUCCUCCAGGAUGGAUCGAGUAUGGAGCGGUGUGGCUUUUGGUUAAGAUUUGUUGCUUGAGUUCCUCAAUGUUAGGUACGCAAAGUCUGUCUCCGUACCAUAAUGUUCCUUCACCGUCUAUGACGAACUCUGAAGUCUUACCAAGGUCCAUUUUCUUCUUUAUACCUUCGAUGCUGGGAUGUCCCUGUUGAGCCUUCUUAAUUUGUUCCACUAGGGUGGGUUGCAUCUCCAGUUUUGAUACGGUGCCCUCAGAGACUAACAUCAUGUUGAGCCUAGCGAACUCUUGCUGAAACUCAGGCCUCAAGUUUUGCGGACCGUCAUUGUUCGGGCUGGGGUUUCGACUAAGGGCAUCGGCCACUACAUUUGCUUUCCCUGGAUGGUAGUGAAUACCGACAUCAUAGUCCUUGACCAGUUCCAACCAGCGUCGUUGGCGUAAAUUUAGCUCUGGCUGUGUGAAAAUAUAUUUGAGGCUCUUAUGGUCCGUGUAUAUUUCACAGCAAUUUCCCAACAGAAAGUGCCUCCACUCCUUGAGUGCAUGUAUGACGGCUGCUAGCUCCAAGUCAUGUGUUGGGUAAUUUUCCUCAUGUUUUCGCAGCUGCCUGGAGGCAUACGCGACAACUCUGCCAUCCUGCAUUAGCACACACCCGAAACCUUUUCAGGAUGCGUCACAAUAAACUUCAAAACUCUUGUGUAUGUCUGGCACAGUUAAAACUGGUGCGGUUGUUAGCUUCUUCUUGAGUUCUUGGAAGCUUUUCUCGCAUGCUUCUGUCCAUACAAAUUUCUUGUCCUUCUUGAGCAACUGUGUUAUUGGUUUUGCCACGGUGGAGAAUCCUUCGAUAAAUCUUCUGUAAUAUCCGGCCAUUCCCAGGAAACUCCGCACAUCUGUAACGUUGGCGGGUGGCUUCCAGUCAAGUAUGGCUUUGACUUUUUCUGGGUCUACGGCCACGCCUUCUUGGUUCAAUAUGUGGCCUAGGAAACCAACUUGCCUUAGCCAAAAUUCGCACUUGCUAAAUUUGGCGUACAACUGGUGUUUUCUUAAUUCUCCCAAAACAAUUCUGAGGUGCUCAGCAUGCUCUUCUGGUGUCCUUGAGUAAACCAGAAUAUCGUCAAUGAAUACCACAACAAAUUUGUCCAUGAAUUUCAUAAACACUUUGUUCAUGAGGUGGACGAAAUAUGCGGGGGCGUUCGUUAGUCCAAAAGGCAUCACUGUAAACUCGUAUAACCCAUAUCUGGAAGUGAAUGCUGUCUUGGGGAUAUCUUCUGUCCGUACUUUCAAUUGGUGAUAUCCCGAUCUCAAAUCAAUUUUUGAGAAUACCUUGGCUUGUGCGAGCUGGUCAAAUAAAUCAUUUAUCCGUGGCAUCGGAUAUUUGUUUUUGAUGGUGACCAUAUUGAGGGCUCGAUAGUCUAUACACAGUCUCAGUGUCCCAUCCUUUUUCUUGGCGAACAACACAGGCGAACCCCAUGGUGAGGAGCUGGCUCGAAUAAAUCCUUUGUCCAAUAAUUCCUUUAUCUGCUUCUUCAACUCCACCAAUUCUGAGGGUGCCAUUCUAUAAGGUUUCUUAUAGAUGGGCGCGGUGCCAGGUGCUAGUUCAAUGCUGAAUUCUAUCUCUCGGUCUGGUGGCAUGCCUGGUAGUUCUUCAGGGAACACAUCAGGAAACUCGCAUACCACUGGAACUUUUCUCAGUUCUGCAAUGUCCAUUUUGUUCAGUUUUGGUUGCUGUGAUCGUGGCCUUUCUUGAGCGGAAACCCUUAUUGUCUUGCCGUGAUGGUGAGUGAGAAUCACUUCCCGAUUGAAACAGUCGAUGAAUCCUUUGUUGGUGGUCAACCAAUCCAUCCCUAAGAUGACAUCCAGUCCUUUACUCUCCAACACGAUGGGAUUUGCUUGGAAUUGUAGUCCUUCGAACUCAAUGACCACUCCUUGGCAGUAACCCUGAGCGAUUUGCUUAUUUCCGGGGGACUUGAUGAUCAUAGAUUUUUCCAAGGGAAGUAUCGGAAAACCAUGUUGUAAAACAAAACUCUUCGAAACGAACGAAUGGGAAGCUCCAGAAUCAAACAAAACCGUGGCAGGUACUGUGUUAACAGGGAACGUACCGAGCACGAUGUCUGGGGCAUUCUGCGCUUCUUCCUUGGACACAUCGUUCAGGUGACCCUUGUUGUGGUUGUUGUUGGGAUUGAAAUUGUUGCGCUUGGGGGCUGGAUUGUUUCCACCAUUGUUUGGCUUGGGGGCCGGGUUCCUUGGUUUUGGGCACUGUUUAGCAUAGUGCCCUUCUUCACCACAAGCAUAGCAGGUGACCCCUAGAUGGUAUGUGUACUCCUUGUCUCUGGCAUGAAACUGUCUGACGGGCCUUGGAUCAGCAGUCGUGGAUCUCCUUGCUUCUGUCCUUGGAACCCCAGUCUUGCUUCGGUUGUUGCGAGCAAGAGUCGUCUUGUCCCUCUUUCGCUUACGGAGAUCUUCCAGACUACGGCGCUCAUUCUCCAAGGUAAUGGCCUUGUCAACCAGAGUUUUAAAAUCCGGGAAAGUGUGUACAACCAGUUGGCAUUUUAGUGCUGGUGCCAGGCCGUCCAGGAAUUUUUCCAUCUUCUUGUUUUCUGUCAUAUGCUCGUCGUAGGCAUAACGGGAUAGCUGGGUAAACUGACCAUUGUAUUCUUUCACUGACAUGCCUCUCUGCUUCAGGUCAUCAAACUCUCUCUUCUUGAUUUUUAUGAUGCUCCUGGGGAUGUGUGCCCCACGGAAGCCUUCCUUGAACUCUUCCCAGGUGAUGUUGUGUUCACUAGGAUGCAUGUGUAGGAAGUUUUCCCACCAUGCUGCAGCUGCUCCAGUAAGGUAGUUUGGUGCGUAAAGCACCUUCUCAUGAUCUGAACACUGAGCAAUAAUCAGUUUCCUUUCAAUGUCACGAAGCCAAUCAUCGGCUUCCAGCGGCCUAUCUGUGUGAGCAAAAGUUGAGGGGUGAGUCUUCUGUAACUCAGAUAACUUGGAAUGUGGUUGAUAGGGCUCACGGUGGUUUCCCAUAUUGAUGGCAUGAUUCAUCAUCUCUUGGUGCUGUUGUUGGCUUUGUUCGAAGAGACGGCAUACUUGAGAUAGGGCUGCUUCGCUGUCUUGUUGACUGGAUUGUCCCUGAGUGAAGUUGUUGCUAGUCUGUGUCCCAUAAACCUCUUCUGGCUGAUUGGGCAUGGAGCGAGUCCACGGACGAGACAUUUUUCCAGUCUGGGGUAUUAUUUUGCAAAACCCAUGAGAAAAACUGUGUAGCACAAGGAAAAUCUUGCAAAGGCAACAAUUUAAAAGACCUCAAGGUUUUCAAAGAAAACAUAAGCGAUUUUGCACGGAAAAGAACUGCUUAGCAUAUAUCUUACACGCGAAAAGCAAACACACGAUACAGCACUCAGGAUGCGCGUACACAUUCCUGACAUGUUAUUUAGACUAGCGUACUCCUCCGGAAGGCAGCAAACACACCAAUACAAACUAGCGUACAGAGGAAACACAUCAUACAAGCAGACAUAACGCGCGGCUACUCGGUGCUCUCAGUCGGAGAUGGUGAAGAUUUCCUUCCCCUUGCCGAUGGAAAGACUCAGUGGUCCAGGAGAAUCAACCUCCACCUCCUCUCUAGCUGGCUCCUGGCGCGUAACGCUGCGCUGCGGUGAUGGCGCGGGAGCGACAGGUGGUAGAGCGGGUGCGGCAGGCGGUGCAGCUCUGACUGGAGUAGGAGCGAUGACUCGGUCGAAUUCCUCAGAGGUAGGUAGACGGCGAGCAGUGGCUAAAACGGCCGGUGCAUAAGAGGCUGAAGACGAGACGAAUGUCAGAGGCGGUGCCGUGUGGAGAAGCUCCUUCCUGCUGGCAGGACCGCCCCGGACUAAGUCCAUGCGGGCAGCCACAAGAUCGUCCACGAGGUUGUCGAAAGACUCCUCCAGGGCCUUGAGAUACUCCACAACCAUCUCGAUGGCUUCAUCUCGCUCUCCCCGAUGGCAGGCGAAUGCAUAGUGACUGGUGUAUGGCACAUGGCAUGGGAGGUAGCGGUAGCGACGAGUCUUCAUCGUAGGAAGGAUGUCCCGAAGACGAGCUAUCGCCUCACGGGCAGCCAUCUGCAUGGCAUGCCUCUCCGUAGGCAUGGCCCUUCCCACAAAACGGAAGUGGCGAGCUGCAGAACGUCCUCCCUUGAAUUGCACCAUAGCUUGGUGCAUAGACACGUCGUCGCUGAGCUUGUGCUGAUAGAGCGUGAACUCCGGGCGAGUCGCUGGCCCGAUCGCGAGCUUGGUGAUGGAGACGAGGAGCUUGACAAACCCCUCGGGCACGUUCGUGAACACUCGAUUCUCACAGCUGCUGCCAGCCAUCUACAAAAGUAGGCAAAAAUUCUGAGUAGUCAUGUCAUAAAUUUAUGAUGACCAACAGAAAAUAGCUACAAUUGCAAAAUGCUGAAAAAGCACAAAAGACGCUAAUGACCGAUUACCGAUCGCACCUAGUGGCCUCCUACAGUCAGCCUGGCUCUGGUACCAAGCUUGUCACGACCGGUUUUUCAAUAAAAUAAUUAUUGAGAGACCAAUCCCUUUUACAGACCAGUAAGGAAGAAUUCCUUCUCACUAGUAGACAAUAUCUUGGUCACAGAAGAAAAAAUACCAUGAGUACUGGAUAUAAUACAAGGUUGAGCGGAGACUGCCCAACAAUUUAUUACAUGGACGCCGAUAAAACAAGACGGCGGAUAGGGUGGCAUAACUACUAACUCACGAUAAUAACGGUGGUGGAAAUAUCACCGCGAAGCGAGUGAUAUGACUCCUCAAGACUACAGCUCUUCGAGCGUCGGAGUGAGGCUCGAGGAGGCUUAUUGGGGGUGGCAGAAGCGUAUAUAAUACAAGUGACCAAUAUCCGGGAUCGUGCAGGACUGACUGGGACUCCUCUAGGCGUCGGACGCGCUAUCAAACUCUUCAUCCAAGAGAUCGCCUUCGUCAACAUCUGGCCAAAUCAACAAGCCAGGUGAGUACUAUGAAAGUACUCGCAAGACAGUUCGGACAUAAGAUAUAACAAAUGUAACCAUGAAGCAUAUGAACAAGUUAACCAGUGCGUUCAGACAUAGAGAUAAUAAAUAAUGGGUGCCAAACGAGGGUCUGAAUGACUCCUCGAGAGGAAACUGCAAGAAUAGUAAUACUGGUGCCAAACGAGGGUCUGAAUGACUCCUCGAGAGGAAACUGCAAGAAUAAUAAUACUGGUGCUAAAUGAGGGUCUGAAUGACUCCUCGAGAGGAAACUGCAAGAAUAAUAAUACUGGUGCCAAACGAGGGUCUGAAUGACUCCUCGAGAGGAAACUGCAGAAUAGUAAUGCCACAGUUGGGCGUCGGGGCGACACCACAUAAAGGGCUUAUAUUGCAAGUAAUAUACAAAACAUACCACAGUCGGACGUCUGAGCGACAUCACAUAAAGGGCUUAUAUUGUAGCUUAAUAAUAUAGUAGCUCGAGAACAUAAAUUAUUACAAGUACGAAACAAAUAUGAGGUUAGUCCAGCCGCAGAAAUAGCAAAUUAAACUGGGUUACCACUUGAGCUUGUUCGCCGGGAAUAUAUUUCCACGAGGAUAGAUACAGAUGUACCGAUUACUCUACUUGAUCACGGAUACGAUGACUUGGAAGGAUUUGACUCUGCAGAGUUUGUACUUAACCACAGCCAACGGAUUUCCGUAGUCACAGGGACUAGUUCCGUUUACGGUGUUUUGGAAGAAACACGUCUAACCAGUACACACCCUUUCAAUCUUCCGAAGCCAGGGAUCACCCUCGGCAACGUUCAAGAAAAACCUUGAGACGGGGAGGCUACAACCUCGCGUAGCAUGGGAUCAAAUUUCUAUACGCGCGCUCUAAGGGGGUGCCCCCCUUCUUGGUCCCAACCGGAAACACCCAUGCCCCCUGACCGGAUGACUGGCUUUAAUCCUGGGCCAAGGAACCAUCAUCCCGGCCCCUCUGUUUGGUGUGUACACGGAAAGUGGUUACCAACUUACUAAACCGCAUCUUGGCAAAGAAACACGUGGUAGCACGGAAGGGAAAAUAACGAUAACGUGACUCCGUCCACGUUAACGUCGGAAUUUGUCGGAUGACGCAAGGCUGGUACCACCUUGCUGCCCUUCAUGUCACCACAUGAUUAGGCCAUCUCUCAUCAGAGAUCAUCGCAACUUUGGAACAUGCGGGUAGUUUCCUCACAAGCAACGAGGUACUCACCGACACUCAUAUGCCACGCACAAACUUUCACGCAAACAUGUAAAACACCUAUCAUAUCAAAGGUUCAAACAUGCUUGCCUGGUUCGGAGAAGUCGGAGUCUAGCUCGGCGAAGUUCGCGGCUCCGUCACCUCUUCCGGAACCUACGGCAUAACGAAAACGGGUACUAACGUGAAAACCAACGCGUGCACAGAAACUUCUCCAAAAAAUUUCCAAAUAAAUCCCAUAAAAAAACUAGACAAAAUUUUAAGACUGUCAGAAAAAGAAUCACUCAAAAAUUCCUUUUUAUUAAAAAUUUAUAAAGGUUUCUGUCCAGGGACUCAUCUGUAAUGAAACAGACAAGUUCCAGGGUUUAAACUGAGAAACCAGAAAAUGCUUCGGAAAGAAAUGCGCUAGCUAAAGAGGGAAAGCAUAUUUUGCCCGAAGACGCCAACAGAAAACGGUUCGAGGGAGAAUAGAACAGAGGCUGACAUGGGGGUCCACAUGUCAGGUUUAAAAAGCUCGCCGGCGCCCGAAGACUGCGGUGGACGCCGGCGUCGAACCACGGCGAGUCAGGAGGAUCGGAGGGUACCAAGAGCUUCAGCGUGUCCUUCCGCGUCGGUGGGUGGUGGACUCGACCGUCGGAGAGCACCACGUCGACGGCGACACUUUCUCCGGCGGACGGCGGCUCGGGUGAUGGUGGGGAACUCCGGUGGUGAGCUGCAAACCUCGAAUUGAAGCGCGGGUCAGAAGAGUGGAUGCAUAGGGAAGCUACUGGCAAGAGAUGGGAGGCUGAGGUGCACGCACGGGAGCGAAUCGAGCUGGAUCCCGUGGCGGGUCGCGGCGGCCGGAGUUGAGGAAGGAGACCUCCUCGGGGCUCUUCCAGUGGCUAGGCGUGCUCUAGGUGGAGUGCAGGGAUGGUGUGGGUUCGAGUUGAAGCUCGGGGCCUCUAUUUAUAGGCAGAUCGAGGGGGUGGCCGUGAACGGAGAAUCUCUGGCGAGCAAUUACGGCAAUGUCGUGGAUGAGCAGGUGGUUUGAGUGGCCAGGCAGCAUCAGUGAGGUUUACUGGUGCCGUUCCACUGCUAAACUGAGUUGGUCUUGGCGUAAUGGCGUCGGUCCACGGUGGGGUAGCCGCACGGGCACGUCGGCGGCAGAGAGUGCGCUCUGCGCCCAGCGGUUCACGACGAGGGUGGCAGCGCGUUCUGGGGAGUGGAAGGCCAUGCGGCGAGCUCCGGUGGCUUGGGCGGCGCUGGGUGGCGCCGACUGCGCCGCGCCUCUCUCUGGCGGCCGCAAAGCCGCCGCUGGCGUCGGUCACGGGGCGGCGCACCUCCUCCUGCUCGUCGCCGACGUCCGCAAGCGUCCAGGCGCUCGUGCGGUGCAGGAACAAGGGGGAGGGGACGGGGAGCAAGGCGACAUCGGGGCACUGUCGAGAUCGACAACAAGUUCUGAAGAAAACGACAGUAGCACUGAAAUGUUCUCUGAACUUUUCUGAACCUGAUUUUGACAAUGCACUGCAGGUGUUCGACAGAAUGAUUUGGCAAUGAGAAAAAAUUUCCUGGGGCUGGGACUUGGUGAGGUGACCACUCAAUGCACCCAGAGGCUGCCUGAUUUUACUUGGAAUUUUUGGAGAAGGAUUUGAAUGAAUUUCACCAAAUUUGACAAAUCUGGUCCAAACUUGCAGCAAGUGUAGUUUGAAAAAUUUGAACUGAAGACCAGUGGAUCUUCAUGGAUCUUGGUUGAGGGUUCAAAGGACUAGGAAGGGGAAUUGGUUUUGGGGAAAAAAUCAAAGCAGAGAUGGUAGCUCCUUUGUAAAUCUCCAAGGGCUAGAAUAGAAGGCAGAAAUUUAUUUGAUAAGUUUUAAAAGGAAAAAUAAUCAUAGGGGGAGGUUCAACUUGCUGGAUUUGAUGCAAAACAUGAUCCAAAGAUGAGGGGCGGGUUAGGAGAGUGGAUUUGCACUAAGGCCAUGGCAAGAGGGAAUUGUUGAAAGUGGUAAAGGAUCAUUCCAAAAGCCAUAGUGCAAUUUCAAAGAGAUUUUCAAAAGGCAUUUUUCUCAAGUGAAAAGCAUUUUGCCUUGAGUCUAAAUAAAAAGCAAGAACCUCCAAGACCAAAAAAAAUCUUGGGUGAAUCCAAAUAAAACUCUUGCCAUAAAAAAAAUAUUUGAAAGGGAGAGUUCCUUGAAGAAAAAUUUAAAUCACCUCUCUCAAGUCAAAUAAAUUUUUGAAAAAUCCAAAUAAAAUUUUGGGUGUCACAAUGUUUAAACAAAACUUGUAGUUCAAAGAUAGUCCACUCUUCAGGUUGCGAAUGAGUGUAGCAUUGAGUUCUAGGUGGAAUUUCAGCUUAACAGUCCUCAUCGGAAUACCGAUAUAUAAACAUGUUCUGAAACCAUAGGCAGACUUUAUGUGCUAUGAGAUUUGGUGGGAGAUUGUUGAAAUUAUUGGUCCCAACCCAUUUAAUAAUUCAUAUUUAUCUAAUAUUUCCUAGAAAAUCCCAAAGGCCAUGUGGUCCAUUCAUGAAAAAGGGGUGUGGAGGAUGUGGUAGAACAACUUAUAAGGUGGGUUGUUCCGGGCUUGAGAAGAGAACACACACGUGCGCGCUCCUUCUUCUCUGUUCGCCUGCCACACACCAUGUCGCGCUUUGCACGCGCGUCAUGUUUUGUGAUCGAGCCAAGCCAUGCUAGGACCUAUUCCACAUGUGUGUGCUGCCUUAUUUUUGUCAUGCAAGAAAAAUAAUGUGAAACUUUUUUUCUAGUGGGAGACGAAUCAGAAUAGUCGCGGCGUACUGUUUCGCUUCCUCUCUCUAGUGGGUGUAUGUUUGUCUUCCACUACCGAGGGGUCAGUUGCAACGCGCAUCGGCUAUAAGAGGUCGCCCCUCUUUCUAGAUGAGACACACUUCCAUUCUCUCAUUUCAGAGUAUCACACCGCCUACCUCUUUUCCAUCUCGCUUCUCGGCGUGCACCCAGGAGUGAGAUAGCAGGCCGUCGAAAUCACGCCUCUUGCAAUCAGGUAUGUGAGAGGGGCGAUUAGGUUUUUGAGCAACGCUUCCGCAUGACUUUUGGAUCUUUUUCAACGUGGCUACAGAUGAUGAGUUCCCUGCCGACUUCUUACCCAACUCGACCACCUUCUCCACAACAUGACCCUGGUGAUUGUGUUGUUGUGAUUUGCAAACACUUCUUCUUCAAUUGUGCUGUAUGUUUUAUUAUCCUCUCCGUUAGGGUUUGCGUUUGGUCUACUAGCAGUAGAAAUCGAUGUGGAUAUGAUGCUUACCCUUUUUAUUCUCUAUUGCAUGCCUAGAUUCAAUAAUCCGUUUCGUGUUUCAAUUGCCAUGUCUAUCAUAUUUUAUCUACUGUUUUUCUGGUUUAAACUUAAUGGAAAAUUUCUCAAUUAUUCAAUAGUUUCCCCUACUGCUACCCAUCGUUUGCGUUCAUGUAUCUACAGGUUGGAUCCUUUCAGUCUACACUUCUCUUCAUUGGCGGUGCUUACUAUUCGGAUGCGCUGAUUUUGGGCCUUAGUAUGAUGACUUUCCCGCUGUCUACUACAAAAGAGUUUGCCUGGCUCUGACGAGGAAGGUGUGAUGAUGGUGGCGCGUCGCUGGCUUGCUCCAGUGUUUUUAGUCGUCGCUAGUAGUCUUCAGAUUUAGAUGUACUCCCUCCGUAAACUAAUAUAAGGGCAUCUACAAUGAUGGACUCUUAUCUAGGCGCUUAAACUGGAAAAAAUAAAUAAGAAAAGAAUUUAAAAGCUCUAAGCGUUAUCUAGUCCAAUGUUGGUUGCCUCAUCUCGUGGAGGAAAAAGGGCAAGCACUCGCUGCCUUGUUUUGUGUCCCUGCGGCAUCUGACGCUAGGUAUUGAAGACGUAACUGACAAUUGGAUGGGAAAUUUUCCCUAGCGCCUAGCGUUGAAAAUGCCUUAAGAGUAAUCUAAUCGCUCUUAUAUUAGUUUACGGAGGGAGUAUUUUUUUUCUUAUGUGUUGUUUGCAUUUAUCUUGACAAUGGAUGAAUAAUAAGAUUGAAUAAAAAAACAUCUUGAAGUUACAACCGAUUUUUAAAGGAAUUUAAUUGUUCACACGAAUAAAAGCUACAUCGUUGUAUUCCCUGAAGAAACUUCGAAAUCCAGAAAAAUAAAAGAAAACCAUGAGAGUUCCCCCAAGUGACGGCGACCGCUACGCCGCCGGUGGUGGUGACGGCGACUCCGCCCGCCGUCUUCGUAACUCGUCGGGCCCCUCGAUGUGUCUCCAGCUUUCUACGGGGGCAGCCGGCUCCCUUCCGCGCCGACAGCCUUGCUCCAACAUCGGCCGCAUCCGCAUCGAUGGAUCCUCCCCCGCAUCCGGCGGCUCGGCGGCGCAAUGGCGGGUGAGUGACCGACUGCCCCACACCAGCCAUUGCUAGGUAGGGGUUUGAUUCUUUGCCUUUUGUUCUGAAAUUACUGACGCGGAAAGGGAUCAACCAUUGUCAGGUCUCAGGUCAGAUCCCUUUCUUGCCACCCCGGACCAAAAAAGGUGCGGAGGAGAAAGGAAUAACAGGGGCCAUGGCCGUGGGUGGCUUUGCCGGCGAUUGAUGCAAGGCACCGUCGGCGAGCCCAAAGCUAAGCAUCAGCCUGGCUUGUUUAGCUAGCAAAGCAUCCAGAUCCAUCACUCACCAACAAGACAGAGCACCACAUUUCAGCCUAAUUGCCACCGCUUUCUCAUCUCCUAGCUAGCCUGGAAGCGAAACAUACACACUCUCGAUUGAUUAACAUUUCUUUGCCGGUCUUAGGACAAGCAAGGAGAAACCAACCAUGGCCAUGGUGCUGGACGCCUUCGCGUCCUACAUCGCCGACACGAUCAAGCAGAUGGCGGCGGACGAGGUGGGGAUGCUGCUCGGCGUCACCGGGGAGAUCGACAGCCUGCAGGACAAGCUGGAGAGCCUCAGGGACUACCUCGCCGACGCCGAGAGGAAGCGCAUCAUUGACCGGACGGUGCAGGGGUGGGUCACAAAGCUCAAGGGCGUCAUGUACGAGGCGACCAACAUCCUUGACCUCUGCGAGCUCAAGGCCAUGGGUCGGCGGGAUGAAGCACCCUCACCCUGCUGCAACCCGCUGCUCUUCUGCUUGCAGCAUCCCAUGUUCGCCAAUGAUAUUGGCAGCCGCAUCAGGAAGCUCAACAAGAGGCUGGACGACGUCUGCAAGCUCGGUGCUACCUUCAGCUUCAUCAAGCUGGAGACCUACCAGGACUGCAGGCCCGGACGACCUUCUGCGGCUGACCGGAAGACAGAUCCAGUGUUGGAGCGCUCGGCCGUGGUAGGGGAGAAGAUCGAAGAGGAUACACGAGCGCUGGUGAAGGAGCUGACAAAGGAUAAUGAUGGCAUCGUGGUGCUUGCCAUCGUGGGUGUUGGUGGGAUUGGGAAGACCACCCUUGCCAAGAAGGUCUUCAACCACGAGGAAAUUCAACACAAAUUUGAAAAGAAGAUGUGGCUGAGCGUCACACAAGACUUCAGCGAGGUUGAGCUGCUAAGGUUGGCCAUCACCAUCGCCGAUGGAAAACUCCCUGCAACUGAAGACAAAUCUAUGCUUGUGCCGGCCCUUCUCAAUGCUGUCAGAAAUCAAAAGUUUCUUCUGGUAUUGGAUGAAAUGUGGAGUGAUAGAGCAUGGACCUCAUUACUCAAUCGUCCCUUAGCUACGGUGCCCCUGGUAGCCGGAUUGUUAUCACCACGAGAAAUGAUACGGUUGCCCGAGGCACAAGAGCCAGAGAGCCCUACCACCGCAUCGACAAAUUACGGCCCCGGCAACGGCGCCAGGAAAGAGCUUAGUUGACGGGGUGUUAGUGCCGCUUACCUCGCCUCCCCGGCAACGGCGCCAGAAAAGAGCUUGAUGUCUACUACACAACCUUCUUCUUGUAGACGUUGUUGGGCCUCCAAGUGCAGAGGUCUGUAGGAAAGUAGAAAAUUUCCCUCAAGUGGAUGACCUAAGGUUUAUCAAUCAAUGGGAGGCGUAGGACAAAGCAAGCGAGAAACCAACCACGGCCAUGGUGUUGGACGCCUUCGCGUCCUACAUCGCCGACACGAUCAAGAAGAUGGCGGAGGACGAGGUGGGGAUGCUGCUCGGCGUCACCGGGGAGAUCGAGAGCCUGCAGAACAAGCUGGAGAGCCUCAGGGACUACCUCGCCGACGCCGACAGGAAGCGCAUCACUGACCGAAGGGUGCAGGGGUGGGUCACGAAGCUCAAGGGUGUCAUGUACGAGGCGACCAAAAUCCUCGACCUCUGCGAGCUCAAGGCCAUGGGUCGGCGGGACGCAGCACCCUCACCCUGCUGCAACCCGCUGCUCUUCUACUUGCGGCAUCCCAUGUUCGCUCACCACAUUGGUAGCUGCAUCAGGAAGCUCAACAAGAGGCUGGACGACAUCUGCAAGCUCGGUGCUGCCUUCAGCUUCAUCAAGCUGGAGACCUACCAGGACUACUGGCCCGGAUGGCCUUCUGCGGCUGACCGGAAGACGGAUCCGGUGUUGGAGCGCUCGGCCGUGGUAGAGGAGAAGCUUGAAGAGGAUACGAGAGCGUUGGUGAAGGAGCUGACAAAGGAUAAUGAUGGCAUCGUGGUGCUCGCCAUCAUGGGUGUUGGUGGGAUCGGGAAGACCACCCUUGCCAAGAAGGUCAUCAACGAUAUGGAAAUUCAACACAAAUUUGAAAAGAAGAUGUGGCUGAGCGUCACACAAGACUUCAGCGAGGUUGAGCUGCUAAGGUUGGCCAUCACCACCGCCGAUGGAAAACUCCCUGCAACUGAAGACAACACUAUGCUUGUGCCGGCCCUUCUCAACGCUGUCAGAAAUCAGAAGUUUCUUUUGGUUUUGGAUGACAUGUGGAGUGAUAGAGCAUGGACCUCAUUACUCAAUCGUCCCUUCAGCUACGGUGCCCCUGGUAGCCGGAUUGUUAUCACCACGAGAAAUGAUACGGUUGCCCGAGGCACAAGAGCCAGAGAGCCCUACCACCGCAUCGACAAAUUAGGGCCCCGGCAACGGCGCCAGAAAAGAGCUUAGUUGACGGGGUGUUAGUGCCGCUUACCUAGCCUCCCCGGCAACGGCGCCAGAAAAGAGCUUGAUGUCUACUACGCAACCUUCUUAUUGUAGACGUUGUUGGGCCUCCAAGUGCAGAGGUUUGUAGGAAAGUAGCAAAUUUCCCUCAAGUGGAUGACCUAAGGUUUAUCAAUCCGUGGGAGGCGUAGGAUGAAGAUGGUCUCUCUCAAGCAACCCUGCAACCAAAUAACAAAGAGUCUCUUGUGUCCCCAACACACCCAAUACAAUGAUAAAUUGUAUAGGUGCACUAGUUCGGCGAAGAGAUGGUGAUACAAGUGCAAUAUGGAUGGUAGAUAUGGGUAUUUGUAAUCUGAAAAUAUAAAAAUAGCAAGGUAACUAAUGAUAAAAGUGAGCGUAAACUGUAUAGCAAUGCUAGGAAACAAGGCCUAGGAUUCAUACUUUCACUAGUGCAAGUUCUCUCAACAAUAAUAACAUAAUUGGAUCAUAUAACUAUCCCUCAACAUGCAACAAAGAGUCACUCCAAAGUCACUAAUAGCGGAGAACAAACGAAGAGAUUAUGGUAGGGUACGAAACCACCUCAAAGUUAUUCUUUCCGAUCAAUCCAUUGGGCUAUUCCUAUAAGUGUCACAAACAGCCCUAGAGUUCGUAGUAAAAUAACACCUUAAGACACACAUCAACCGAAACCCUAAUGUCACCUAGAUACUCCAAUGCCACCUCAAGUAUCCGUGGGUAUGAUUAUACGAUAUGCAUCACACAAUCUCAGAUUCAUCUAUUCAACCAACACAUAGAACCUCAAAGAGUGCCCCAAAGUUUCUGCCGGAGAGUCAAGACGAAAACGUGUGCCAACCCCUAUGCAUAGGUUCAUGGGCGGAACCCACAAGUUGAUCACCAAAACAUACAUCAAGUGAAUCAAUCGAAUAACCCAUUGUCACCACGGUUAUCCGACGCAAGACAUACAUCAAGUGUUCUCAAAUCAUUAAAGACUCAAUCCGAUAAGAUAACUUCAAAGGGAAACUCAAUCCAUUACAAGAGAGUAGAGGGGGAGAAACAUCAUAAGAUCCAACUAUAAUAGCAAAGCUCGCCAUACAUCAAGAUCGUGCCAAAUCAAGAACACGAGAGAGAGAGAUCAAACACAUAGCUACUGGUACAUACCCUCAGCCCCGAGGGUGAACUACUCCCUCCUCGUCAUGGAGAUCGCCGGGAUGAUGAAGAUGGCCACCGGUGAGGGAUCCCCCCUCCGGCAGGGUGCCAGAACAGGGUCCUGAUUGGUUUUUGGUGGCUACAGAGGCUUGCGGCGGCGGAACUCCCGAUCUAUUCUUUUCCCCGAAGUUUUUAGGGUAUAUUGGUAUAUAUAGGAGGAAGAAAUACGUCAGGGCAGCCACGAGGGGACCACGAGAGUGGAGGGCGCGCCCAGGGGGGUGGGCGCGUCAUCCUGCCUCGUGCCCUCCUCGUUGAUUCCCUGACGUGCACUCCAAGUCCCCUGGAUUGCUUCCGUUGCAAAAAUAACUUUUCCGAAGGUUUCAUUCCGUUUGGACUUCGUGUGAUAUUCCUUUUCUGUGAAAAACUGAAACAAGGGAAAAAACAGAAACUGGCACUGGGCUCUGGGUCAAUAGGUUAGUCCCAAAACUAAUAUAAGUGUGCAUAGUAAAUCACACAAAACAUCCAAGAUGGAUAAUAUAAUAGCAUGAAUACUUCAUAAAUUAUAGAUACGUUGGAGACGUAUCAGCAUCCCCAAGCUUAAUUCCUGCUCAUCCUCGAGUAGGUAAAUGAUAAAAGAAAUAAUUUAUGAAGUGUGAAUGCUAGCAGGUGCAUAAGUUUGAUCAAUGAUAAUUUCAAUCACCUUUUCUAGCAUCAUUAUAUGUCAUAAUAGUAGCUCAACUCAUAGAACUUUGCAUGAUCAAGUAACAAACUAUUCACAUGUUAAAGUAUAGAUCAUAAACUUUCUUGAAAACUAACAAACCGUGUUAUUAGUCAUCAAACAAUUACAAUUCAUCUUAUUUUCAGGAAGAGUCUAUGUCAGAGCUUUGAUUUACCAAACUCCACAUACUCAACUAUCAUUUAGUCUUCCAUGAUUGCUACCACUCAAAGCAUAUUUUUAGAACAAAUAGUAUUCGUCGAACACAGAGAAAGAUAGGGGCUUAAUAUUUCGCCUCCCAACCUUUUACCUCAAGGGUAAUGUCAACAGUAAUAAUUCAUGAUCAAAUAUAUUUGAAUGGCCAUAUAUGCUUACAUCUUUCCAUCAUAUGAUGCUUGCCAACUAAAGAGUAGGUUGGAAUGAGAAGGAAUACUAUUGACUCUUGCAUAAAAGUAAAAGAUAGGCCCUUCGCAGAGGGAAGCAGGGAUUUGCAGAGGUGCCAGAGCUCGAAGCAAAAACAGAGAUGAAAAUAAUUUUGAGAGGUAUGCUUUCAUUGUCAACAUAACGACCAAGAGUUCCCAAUAUCUUCCAUAGUAGAUACAUCAUAGGCGGUUCCCACGCAGAAAGGUAAAGAUUUUACUCCCCCUCCACCAACGAUCACACUCCACGGCUUGUCUGAAACAACGGGUGCCGUCCAACUUUCGACAAUCCUGGGGGAGUUUUGUUUAAAUUAUUUGCGAAUUUGUUUUUGAUCUUUUGAUCAUAGGACUAGGCAUCCCAUUUACCAGCCAUUUUCUCGUGAAUGAUGAGCGGAGUCCACUCAUCGUGAGAAUAAUCCACCUAGGAUGGAAGAUACUGACAGCCCCUAGUCGCUACAUGAGCGAUUCGGGCAUACAAAACAGAUUAUUAUUUGAAGGUUUAGAGUUUGGCACAUGCAAAUUUACUAGGAACGGCAGGUAAAUACCGCAUAUAGGUAGAUAUGGUGGACACUCAUGGAAGAAACUUGGUUCCAGGAAUUUGGAUGCACAAGCAGUAUUCCUGCUUAGUACAGAUAUUUUGGCUAGCAAAGGAUUCUAAAUAGCAAGCACCACAUGUUAGAGGAUCCAUAACAAUAUAACUUCUAUACAAAUAUACCCAAGCAUAACUCAUUAUGUUGUCUUCCUUGUCCAACUUCAACUAAUUUUCUCAGGUUUGAAAAUAAUUAAUGGGGCUCACAAUCAUAGAAGAUGUCCAAGAUAGUAUAUUUAUAUGUGAAAUCUCUCUUCCUUCAAUAUUCGUUCAUGAUUUGUUCAAGUGAUCAAUACAAUGUUUGCUAACCUUCAAUAAAUUUACCACCUCUACUUCUUAUAUGUGAAGGCAUUACUCCCCAUGGGAAAGGCAUAUGAAACAUAUAUAAUUGCAGAUUUAUGACAUUCAAAUCAUUCAACCAUUUACUCAUAGGGUAUAAGCGAAGCACAUGAGUAAAUGACAAACUACUCCAAAAAGAUAUAAGUGAAGAUCAAUGAGUAGUUAAAUAAUUAUGUAGCUAUGUGAAGACUCUCUCUCAUUUAAGAAUUUCAGAUCUUGGUAUUUUAUUCAAACAGCAAGCAAAGCUAAAGAAAAUCAAAUGACGCUCCAAGCAAAACACAUAUCAUGUGGUGAAUAAAAAUAUAGCUCCAAGUAAAGUUACCGAUGAACGAAGACGAAAGAGGGGAUGCCAUCCGGGGCAUCCCCAAGCUUAGGCUCUUGGUUGUCCUUGAAUAUUACCAUGGGGUGCCUUGGGCAUCCCCAAGCUUAGGCUCUUGCCACUCCUUAUUCCAUAGUCCAUCGAAUCUUUACCCAAAACUUGAAAACUUCACAACACGAAACUCAACAGAAAACUCGUAAGCUCCGUUAGCGAAAGAAAACAAAACACUACUUGAAGGUACUGUAAUGAACUCAUUCUUUAUUUAUAUUGGCGUUAAACCUACUGUAUUCCAACUUCUCUAUGGUUUAUAAACUAUUUUACUAUCCAUAGAUUCAUCAAAAUAAGCAAACAACACACGAAAAACAGAAUCUGUCAAAAACAGAACAGUCUGUAGUAAUCUGUAACUAACGCAAACUUCUGGAACUCAAAAAAUUCUAAAAUAAAUUGGUGGACCUGAGGAAUUUGUCUAGUAAUCAUCUGAAUAAAUAAUCAACUAAAUAGCACUCUCCAGUAAAAAAUGACAGCUAAACUCGUGAGCGGAAAGUUUCUGUUUUUUACAGCAAGAUCACAUUAACUUCCACCCAAGUCUUCCCAAAGGUUCUACUUGGCACUUUAUUGGAACAAAAGCUAUAUAACAUGAUUACUACAGUAGCAUAAUUAUGUGAACACACAAAAACAGUAAAGGUAAAUAUUGGGUUGUCUCCCAACAAGUGCUUUUCUUUAUUGUCUUUUUAGCUAGGCAUGAUAAUUUCAAUGAUCCUCACAUAAAAGAUAAGAAUUGAAACAUAAAGAUAGCAUCAUGAAGCAUAUGACAAGCACAUUUAAGCCUAACCGACUUCCUAUGCAUAGGGGUUUUGUGAGCAAACAACUUAUGGGAACAAGAAUCAACUUGCAUAGGAAGGUAAAACAAGCAUAACUUCAAGAUUUUCAACACAUAGAGAGGAAACUAGAUAUUAUGCAAUAUGUAGAAGCAUAUGAUCCUCUCUCAUAGUAAUUUUCAGUAGCAUCAUGAAUGAAUUCAAAAAUAUAACUAUCACAUAAAGCAUUCUUUUCAUGAUCUACAAGCAUAGAAAUUACUCUCCACAAAAGCAAAUUUGUUCUCAUGAAUAGUAGUGGGAGCAAACUCAACAAAAUAACUAUCAUGUGAAGCAUAAUCCAAUUGAAAAUUAAAAUCAUUAUGACAAGUUUCAUGGUUAUUUUUAUUCUUUAUAGCAUACGUGUCAUCACAAUAAUCAUCAUAGAUAGGAGGCAUGCUAUCAUCAUAAUAAAUUUGCUCAUCAAAACUUGGGGGACAAAAAAUAUCAUCUUCGUCAAACAUAGCAUCCCCAAGCUUGUGGAUUUGAAUAUCAUUAGCAUCAUGGAUAUUCAAGGAAUUCGUACUAACAACAUUGCAAUCAUGCUCAUCAUUCAAAGAUUUAGUGCCAAACAUUAUAAUGCAUUCUUCCUCUAGCACUUGAGCACAAUUUUCCUUUCCAUCAUUUUCACGAAAGACAUUAAAAAGGUGAAGCACAUGAGGCACCCUUAAUUCCAUAUUUUGUAGUUUUCUUUUAUAAACUAAACUAGCGAUAAAACAAGAAACUAAAAGAUUCGAUUGCAAGAUCUAAAGAUAUACCUUCAAGCACUCACCUCCCCGGCAACGGCGCCAGAAACUGCUUAGUUGAUGGGGUGUGAGUGCCGCUUACCUAGCCUCCCCGGCAACGGCGCCAGAAAAGAGCUUGAUGUCUACUACGCAACCUUCUUAUUGUAGACGUUGUUGGGCCUCCAAGUGCGGACGUUUGUAGGACAGUAGCAAAUUUCCCUCAAGUGGAUGACCUAAGGUUUAUCAAUCCGUGGGAGGCAUAUGUUGAAGAUGGUCUCUCUCAAACAACCCUGCAACCAAAUAACAAAGAGUCUCUUGUGUCCCCAACACACCCAAUACAAUGGUAAAUUAUAUAGGUGCACUAGUUCGGCGAAGAGAUGGUGAUACAAGUGCAAUAUGGAUGGUAGAUAUAGGUUUUUGUAAUCUGAGAAUAUAAAAAUAGCAAGGUAACUAAUAAUAAAAGUGAGCGUAAACGGUAUUGCAAUGCGUUGAAACAAGGCCUAGGGUUCAUACUUUCACUAGUGCAAGUUCUCUCAACAAUAAUAACAUAAUUGGAUCAUAUAACUAUCCCUCAACAUGCAACAAAGAGUCACUCCAAAGUCACUAAUAGCGGAGAACAAACGAAGAGAUUAUGGUAGGGUACGAAACCACCGCAAAGUUAUUCUUUCCGAUCAAUCCAUUGGGCUAUUCCUAUAAGUGUCACAAACAGCCCUAGAGUUCGUAGUAAAAUAACACCUUAAGACACACAUCAACCGAAACCCUAAUGUCACCUAGAUACUCCAAUGCCACCUCAAGUAUCCGUGGGUAUGAUUAUACGAUAUGCAUCACACAAUCUCAGAUUCAUCUAUUCAACCAACACAUAGAACCUCAAAGAGUGCCCCAAAGUUUCUACCGGAGACUGAAGACGAAAAUGUGUGCCAACCCCUAUGCAUAGGUUCAUGGGUGGAACCCGCAAGUUGAUCACCAAAACAUACAUCAAGUGAAUCAAUAGAAUAACCCAUUGUCACCACGGUUAUCCGACGCAAGACAUACAUCAAGUGUUCUCAAAUCAUUAAAGACUCAAUCCGAUAAGAUAACUUCAAAGGGAAACUCAAUCCAUUACAAGAGAGUAGAGGGGGAGAAACAUCAUAAGAUCCAACUAUAAUAGCAAAGCUCGCCAUACAUCAAGAUCGUGCCAAAUCAAGAACACGAGAGAGAGAGAGAUCAAACACAUAGCUACUGGUACAUACCCUCAGCCCCGAGGGUGAACUACUCCCUCCUCGUCAUGGAGAUCGCCGGGAUGAUGAAGAUGGCCACCGGUGAGGGAUCUCCCCUCCGGCAGGGUGCCGGAACAGGGUCCUGAUUGGUUUUUGGUGGCUACAGAGGCUUGCGGCGGCGGAACUCCCGAUCUAUUCUGUUCCCCGGAAUUUUUAGGGUAUAUUGGUACAUAUAGGAGGAAGAAAUACGUCAGGGGAGCCACGAGGGGACCACGAGAGUGGAGGGCGCGCCCAGGGGGGUUGGCGCGUCCCCCUGCCUCGUGCCCUCCUCGUUGACUCCCGGACGUGCACUCCAAUUCCGCUGGAUUGCUUCCGUUCCAAAAAUAACUUUUCCGAAGGUUUCAUUCCGUUUGGACUUCGUGUGAUAUUCCUUUUCUGCGAAAAACUGAAAUAAGGGAAAAAACAGAAACUGGCACUGGGCUCUGGGUCAAUAGGUUAGUCCCAAAACUAAUAUAAAUGUGCAUAGUAAAUCACACAAAACAUCCAAGAUGGAUAAUAUAAUAGCAUGAAUACUUCAUAAAUUAUAGAUACGUUGGAGACGUAUCAGCAUCCCCAAGCUUAAUUCCUGCUCAUCCUCGAGUAGGUAAAUGAUAAAAGAAAUAAUUUAUGAAGUGUGAAUGCUAGCAGGUGCAUAAGUUUGAUCAAUGAUAAUUUCAAUCACCUUUUCUAGCAUCAUUAUAUGUCAUAAUAGUAGCUCAACUCAUAGAACUUUGCAUGAUCAAGUAACAAACUAUUCACAUGUUAAAGUAUAGAUCAUAAACUUUCUUGAAAACUAACAAACCGUGUUAUUAGUCAUCAAACAAUUACAAUUCAUCUUAUUUUCAGGAAGAGUCUAUGUCAGAGGUUUGAUUUAGCAAACUCCACAUACUCAACUCUCAUUUAGUCUUCCAUGAUUGCUACCACCCAAAGCAUAUUUUUAGAACAAAUAGUAUUCACCGAACACAGAGAAAGAUAGGGGCUUAAUAUUUCGCCUCCCAACCUUUUACCUCAAGGGUAAUGUCAACAGUAAUAAUUCAUGAUCAAAUAUAUUUGAAUGUCCAUAUAUGCUUAGAUCUUUCCAUCAUAUGAUGCGUGCCAACUAGAGAGUAGGUUGGAAUGAGAAGGAAAACUAUUGACUCUUGCAUAAAAUUAAAAUAUAGGCCCUUCGCAGAGGGAAGCAGGGAUUUGCAGAGGUGCAAGAGCUCGAAGCAAAAACAGAGAUGAAAAUAAUUUUGAGAGGUAUGCUUUCAUUGUCAACAUAAAGACCAAGAGUUCCCAAUAUGUUCCAUACUAGAUACAUCAUAGGCGGUUCCCACGCAGAAAGGUAAAGAUUUUACCGCCCCUCCACCAAUGAUCACACUCCACGGCUUGUCUGAAACAACGGGUGCCGUCCAACUCUCAACAAUCAUGGGGGAGUUUUGUUUAAAUUAUUUGCGAAUUUGUUUUUGAUCUUUUGAUCAUAGGACUGGGCAUCCCAGUUACCAGCCAUUUUCUCGUGAAUGAUGAGCGGAGUCCACUCAUCGUGAGAAUAACCCACCUAGCAUGGAAGAUAGUGACAGCCCCUAGUCGCUACAUGAGCGAUUCGGGCAUACAAAACAGAUUAUUAUUUGAAGGUUUAGAGUUUGGCUCAUACAAAUUUACUUGGAACGGCAGGUAAAUACCGCAUAUAGGUAGAUAUGGUGGACACUCAUGGAAGAAACUUGGUUCAAGGAAUUUGGAUGCACAAGCAGUAUUCCCGCUUAGUACAGGUAUUUUGGCUAGCAAAGGAUUCUAAAUAGCAAGCACCACAUGUUAGAGGAUCCAUAACAAUAUAACUUCUAUACAAAUAUACCCAAGCAUAACUUAUUGUGUUGUCUUCCUUGUCCAACUUCAACUAAUUUGCUCAGGCUUGAAAAUAAUUAAUGGGGCUCACAAUCAUAGAAGAUGUCCAAGAUAGUAUAUUUAUAUGUGAAAUCUCUCUUCCUUCAAUAUUCGUUCAUGAUUUGUUCAAGUGAUCAAUACAAUGUUUGCUAACCUUAAAUAAAUUUACCACCUCUACUUCUUAUAUGUGAAGGCAUUACUCCCCAUGGGAAAGGCAUAUGAAACAUAUAUAAUUUAAGAUUUAUGACAUUCAAAUCAUUCAAACAUUUACUCAUAGGAUAUAAGCGAAGCACACGAGUAAAUGACAAACUACUCCAAAAACAUAUAAGUGAAGAUCAAUGAGUAGUUAAAUAAUUAUGUAGCUAUGUGAAGACUCUCUCUCAUUUAAGAAUUUCAGAUCUUGGUAUUUUAUUCAAACAGCAAGCAAAGCUAAAGAAAAUAAAAUGACGCUCCAAGCAAAACACAUAUCAUGUGGUGAAUGAAAAGAUAGCUCCAAGUAAAGUUACCGAUGAACAAAGACGAAAGAGGGGAUGCCACCCGGGGCAUCCCCAAGCUUAGGCUCUUGGUUGUCCUUGAAUAUUACCUUGGGGUGCCUUGGGCAUCCCCAAGAUUAGGCUCUUUCCACUCCUUAUUCCAUAGUCUAUCGAAUCUUUACCCAAAACUUGAAAACUUCACAACACGAAACUCAACAGAAAACUCGUAAGCUCCGUUAGCGAAAGAAAACAAAACACUACUUGAAGGUACUGUAAUGAACUCAUUCUUUAUUUAUAUUGGCGUUAAACCUACUGUAUUCCAACUUCUCUAUGGUUUAUAAACUAUUUUACUAGCCAUAGAUUCAUCAAAAUAAGCAAACAACACACGAAAAACAGAAUCUGUCAAAAACAGAACAGUCUGUAGUAAUCUGUAACUAACGCACACUUCUGGAACUCAAAAAAUUCUAAAAUACAUUGGUGGACCUGAGGAAUUUGUCUAGUAAUCAUCUUCAAAAAUAAUUAACUAAAUAGCACUCUCCAGUAGAAAAUGACAGCUAAACUCGUGAGCGCAAAGUUUCUGUUUUUUACAGCAAGAUCACAUUAACUUCCACCCAAGUCUUCCCAAAGGUUCUACUUGGCACUUUAUUGAAACAAAAGCUAUAUAACAUGAUUACUACAGUAGCAUAAUUAUGUGAACACACAAAAACAGUAAAGGUAAAUAUUGGGUUGUCUCCCAACAACCGCUUUUCUUUAUUGUCUUUUUAGCUAGGCCUGAUAAUUUCAAUGAUGCUCACAUAAAAGACAAGAAUUGAAACAUAAAGAUAGCAUCAUGAAGCAUAUGACAAGCACAUUUAAGCCUAACCCACUUCCUAUGCAUAGGGAUUUUGUGAGCAAACAUCUUAUGGGAACAAGAAUCAACUUGCAUAGGAAGGUAAAACAAGCAUAACUUCAAGAUUUUCAACACAUAGAGAGGAAACUUGAUAUUAUGCAAUAUGUAGAAGCAUAUGAUCCUCUCUCAUAGUAAUUUUCAGUAGCAUCAUGAAUGAAUUCAAAAAUAUAACUAUCACAUAUUCUUUUCAUGAUCUACAAGCAUAGAAAUUUUAUUACUCUCCACAAAAGGAAAUUUGUUCUCAUGAAUAGUAGUGGGAGCAAACUCAACAAAAUACCUAUCAUGUGAAGCAUAAUCCAAUUGAAAAUUAAAAUCAUUAUGACAAGUUUCAUGGUUAUUUUUAUUCUUUAUAGCAUACGUGUCAUCACAAUAAUCAUCAUAGAUAGGAGGCAUGUUAUCAUCAUAAUAAAUUUUCUCAUCAAAACUUGGGGGACAAAAAAUAUCAUCUUCGUCAAACAUAGCAUCCCCAAGCUUGUGCCUUUGCAUAUCAUUAGCAUCAUGGAUAUUCAAGGAAUUCAUACUAACAACAUUGCAAUCAUGCUCAUCAUUCAAAGAUUUAGUGCCAAACAUUCUAAUGCAUUCUUCCUCUAGCACUUGAGCACAAUUUUCCUUUCCAUCAUUUUCACGAAAGACAUUAAAAAGAUGAAGCAUAUGAGGCACCAUUAAUUCCAUUUUUUGUAGUUUUCUUUUAUAAACUAAACUAGUGAUAAAAAAAGAAACUAAAAGAUUUGAUUGCAAGAUCUACGCAAUCUUCUUAUUGUAGACAUUGUUGGGCCUCCAAGUGCAGAGGUUUGUAGGACAGUAGCAAAUUUCCCUCAAGUGGAUGACCUAAGGUUUAUCAAUCCGUGGGAGGCGUAGGUUGAAGAUGGUCUCUCUCAAACAACCCUGCAACCAAAUAAGAAAGAGUCUCUUGUGUCCCCAACACACCCAAUGCAAUGGUAAAUUGUAUAGGUGCACUAGUUCGGCGAAGAGAUGGUGAUACAAGUGCAAUAUGGAUGGUAGAUAUAGGUUUUUGUAAUAUGAAAAUAUAAAAACAGCAAGGUAACUAAUAAUAAAAGUGAGCGUAAAUGGUAUUGCAAUGCGUUGAAACAAGGCCUAGGGUUCAUACUUUCACUAGUGCAAGUUCUCUCAACAAUAAUAACAUAAUUGGAUCAUAUAACUAUCCCUCAACAUGCAACAAAGAGUCACUCCAAAGUCACUAAUAGCGGAGAACAAACGAAGAGAUUAUGGUAGGGUACGAAACCACCUCAAAGUUAUUCUUUCCGAUCAAUCCAUUGGGCUAUUCCUAUAAGUGUCACAAACAGCCCUAGAGUUCGUAGUAAAAUAACACCUUAAGACACACAUCAACCAAAACCCUAAUGUCACCUAGAUACUCCAAUGCCACCUCAAGUAUCCGUGGGUAUGAUUAUACGAUAUGCAUCACACAAUCUCAGAUUCAUCUAUUCAACCAACACAUAGAACCUCAAAGAGUGCCCCAAAGUAUCUACCGGAGAGUCAAGACGAAAAUGUGUGCCAACCCCUAUGCAUAGGUUCAUGGGCAGAACCCGCAAGUUGAUCACCAAAACAUACAUCAAGUGAAUCAAUAGAAUAACCCAUUGUCACCACGGUUAUCCCACGCAAGACAUACAUCAAGUGUUCUCAAAUCAUUAAAGACUCAAUCCGAUAAGAUAACUUCAAAGGGAAAACUCAAUCGAUUACAAGAGAGUAGAGGGGGAGAAACAUCAUAAGAUCCAACUAUAAUAGCAAAGCUCGCGAUACAUCAAGAUCGUGCCAAAUCAAGACGCGCGAGAGAGAGAGAUCAAACACAUAGCUACUGGUACAUACCCUCAGCCCCAAAGGUGAACUACUCCCUCCUCGUCAUGGAGAUCGCCGGGAUGAUGAAGAUGGCCAGCGGUGAGGAAUCCCCCCUCUGGCAGGGUGCCGAAACAGGGUCCCGAUUGGUUUUUGGUGGCUACAGAGGCUUGCGGCGGUGGAACUCCCGAUCUAUUCUGUUCCCCGAAGGUUUUAGGGUAUAUGGGUAUAUAUAGGAGGAAGAAAUACGUCAGGGGAGCCACGAGGGGCCCACGAGGGUGGAGGGCGCGCCCAUGGGGGUGGGCGCGCCCCCUGCCUCGUGCCCUCCUCAUUGAUUCCCUGACGUGCACUCCAAGUCCCCUGGAUUGCUUCCGUUCCAAAAAUAAAUUUUCUGAAGGUUUCAUUCCGUUUGGACUCCGUUUGAUAUUCCUUUUCUGCGAAACACUGAAACAAGGGGAAAAACAUAAACUGGCACUGGGCUCCGGGUCAAUAGGUUAGUCCCAAAAGUAAUAUAAAAGUGCAUAGUAAAGCCCAUAAAACAUCCAAGAUGGAUAUUAUAAUAGCAUGAAUAGUUCAUAAAUUAUAGAUACGUUGGAGAGGUAUCACCCAUGGAGUUAUAUAAUCACUAGGCAUAGGGACAUAGCUGCUACAACAUAUAUUGACAAGAACAGUAGCAGAACAACAAGAAAGCUGGCUACUCAAGUACUCCUAAUGGCGCCUAUCAAGAACAUCGGGCAGGCUAUGUGCCUGCUGGCUCUUGUUGUCAUGUCUACCACUUCCCUGCCCUCUCUUGUAGAAGGAAGGAUCAUGGGGACAUUUCUUUCGUCUACUUUUCUCUUAAUAUUUUUGUACACAUUUGGAUGUUAGUAACUGGGAAGUUACUAUUGUGAUCCCAUGCGUGCAGAUACGAAGGGCAAGAUGCCUGACAAGUUAUGUUUUGUAAUGAAACGCUGCACACUCAGUCUAUGCCAGAAACUAUGUUUAGCACAUGGAUAUGAUAAGGGUCAAAGCGACUACAUAUCUUUCAACAAAAACCAGUGUUGCUGCUUCGCGAAGGGAACUCCGCCAUUAGCAUGAUGGAUAACAUACACACCAUCCCCUGCGAAUGUCAAAUAAGACUAUUCGACUUUAUUGAUGAAGAACAUUCAAUAAAAUUUAAACUUUAUCUAGUAAUUAUUGGGUAAUGUAUAACUCCCAAGUGUGAGCAAGUGAAUCGUUGUGUGUGGAGUGGAAUCGUUCAUGUAUCUUUGCACAUGGUCUCAUUCUUUGAUAAAGAGCUCUUUUAUUAACUUAAAACAUAGUAUCAAAUAGAUACAAAGCAUAGCGAGUAAUGCUGACCUCUGCAUAGCUAGGAUACACACAAACCAACACAGACAAUAAUCUGACAAAAAAGCUGACAUGUUGGCACCAGUAAAUUCGUAUAAGACCGACAUUACGCCCAUAUCGAAGGAGUUGAUGGACCAAUCCGAAGAUUAUUUUGGCACCCUUUUUCCUUCAUUAGGCAUGAAUNNNNNNNNNNNNNNNNNNNNNNNNNNNNNNNNNNNNNNNNNNNNNNNNNNNNNNNNNNNNNNNNNNNNNNNNNNNNNNNNNNNNNNNNNNNNNNNNNNNNNNNNNNNNNNNNNNNNNNNNNNNNNNNNNNNNNNNNNNNNNNNNNNNNNNNNNNNNNNNNNNNNNNNNNNNNNNNNNNNNNNNNNNNNNNNNNNNNNNNNNNNNNNNNNNNNNNNNNNNNNNNNNNNNNNNNNNNNNNNNNNNNNNNNNNNNNNNNNNNNNNNNNNNNNNNNNNNNNNNNNNNNNNAAAUUCUUCAUAGCAAGUACUAUUGUAUAUAUGUGCGAUUCAAUCAUCCCUUAGUUUUUAUUUUUAUUUCAAAAUCUUUAUGAGAUAUUACUCAUAAUUCUAAUAAGAGAUGCAUCAACAAUGAUUAGUGGGAAACAUCCAAAGCAACUCAAGGACUUUGGAGCUUAGACGACAAGCAUAAACCGGAUAAGUACCGGAUAAGUAGGUUUUUUGAAAGAAAACCCGGAUGGUCUUGGAGAACGGACUACGGAACAUAGUUUAGCUUGCGAGUUGCAAACAACCGAGUAUCAUUUGCAGUAGUACAUUUACUCCUCUAAAUACGUGCGGUUUCUAACCAAACCCCUAAACUUAACUCCCUAAAACUUACAUCUGGCUCAUACAUUUCGCCAAACAUUUGCUAUGCGUCUCUGCGGUGAGCGGUGACCAAGAUGACCACGUCGAGACUAACAACACUGGCGAGGAAGACGCGUCAUCAGCGACCCCAGGACGUGCGGCCAUGUCCCUCUUCUUCCCCGACGUUGGAUUCUUCCACCCAGGAGGCAGCAAUGCAUAGGUCACCUCCUCUACCUCACCUACGUUUGCAGCAUCUUGAGCUCCAACCACCGAAGCCUGCUCCUUGUUCUUGUUGUUGUUCCACUUCCCCAGCCCUCACCUAGCUCACCAUCGACCUCCCCAAGGUGAGCCAUGUCUCUUUCCACCACUUUGUCUCUAUUUCAUGUUAUUUGUGUCCCGUCCCGCUCUAAUUCGCACAUGGGUGCCAUAGCUGGAGCUUUGAAGAUCGAUAGACCGGUCCCGCUCGAAAGACCUUGGAAUAGUUGAUGUUAUCUUGAACAUCAAGUUUGUGAGAGGUGAUAAUGGUGGGACAACACUGUUGCAAUCUCACUAUCUGGAGAAAGUUCUGAGUCGCUUUGGAUAUAUGAAAGGAUAAUGUGCUAUAUGAAAGGUACUUCGAGUUACGGACUUCACUAUACUGGGUAACCAAGGGUACGCGAGGGAUAUAGUGAUGCAAAUUGGAUAUCUGAUGUUGAUGAGUUUAAAGCUACAAGUGGUUAUGUGCCACUUAAUGGUGGUGCUAUUUCCUAGAAGUCUUGCCAGCAUACCAUCUUAAUGACGUCAAUAAUGGAAGCAAAACUCACAGCAUUAGACACAACAAUUGUUGAAGUAGAGUGGCUUCGAGAACUCCUGAUAGACUUGCCGGUGAUUCAAAAACCAAUAACAACUAUCAUAAGAACUAUGAUAAUCAAACGAUGUUAGUGAAGGUAAAUGGUUAUAAGGAUAAUAAGAAGUCAUCAAGACAUGUGGGAAGGAUAACGAAAUCUAUCAGAUUUAUAAAAAAACUUUAAAUUUAUAGGUAUAAAGUUAUAAACACAUCAAAGAAUUUGGCAGACCCCCACACAAGGGGUUUAUCAUGGAAUAUUGUAUGCAUAGAGGGAGAUGGGAUCGAGACCCACUACAUAAGUUGUUCAUGGUGGUAGCCCAUUCUAUGUGAUCAAAGAUCUCGUGAAUUAUGAAUUAGAAUUGAUGAGACAAGCUAUUGGGUAAAUGUGAGGGGAGUACUUACUUUUAUCCACUCUGUUACGAUGCAAAUCUCUCAUGAUCUGUAUGGCAGGUUGACAUUUACCUUAAUGUGUUCUGAAUGGCUUGCCUAGGCAAAGAUGUUGUCGUGCGGAACACCUUGAAAGAAAGUACCUAUAUGAGUUAAACUGUUAAACAUUGAGUCUAUGAGAGUUGGAUGCUCUCUAAUAAACUCAUGAAGAGGCCCCCGGAGUAUGACGUAUAUGCUCCUACAUGUGGGAAAGCUUUUCAACGGUCUAGUACCGGUAAAGGCUUUGCGUGAAUCAUGUUUAAACAAAACUUGUAGUUCAGAGAUAGUCCACUCUUCAGGUUGCGAAUGAGCGUAGCAUUGAGUUCUAGGUGGAAUUUCAGCUUAACAGUCCUCAUCGGAAUACCGAUAUAUAAACAUGUUCUGAAACCAUAGGCAAACUUUAUGUGCCUAUGAGAUUUGGUGGGAGAUUGUUGAAAUUAUUGGUCCCAACCCAUUUAAUAAUUCAUAACUUUAUGUAAUAAUUCCUAGAAAAAUCCCAAAGGCCAUGUGGUCCAUUCAUGACAAAGGGGUGUGGAAAGUUUAGUUUCACCAUGCUAGUGGAUUAUGUGGUAGACCAACUUAUAAGGUAAGUUGUUUCACAUAACAAUAAUAGCUUGAGAAGAGGACACACACGCGCGCGCUCCUCCUUCUCUGUCCGCCUGCCACAAACCAUGUCAUGCCUUGCACGUGCGUCAUGUUUCGUCAUCGAGCCAAGCCGUACUAGGACCUAUGCCACGUGUGCGUGCUACCUUAUUUUUGUCACGCAAGAAAAAAAAUUGAAACUUUUUUUCUUCUAGUGGGAGAUGAAUCCGAACAGUCGCGGCGUAUUGUUUCUCUUCCUCUCUCUAGUGGGCAUCCAUUUAUCUUCCACUACUAAGGGGUCAGUUGCAACUCGCCUCGUCUAUAAGAGGUCACUCCUCUUUCCAGACGAGACACACUUUCGUUCAUUCAUUUCAGAGCAUCACGCUGCCUACCUCUUUUCCAUCUCGCUUCUCGGCAUGCACCAAGGAGUGAGAUAGUAGACCUUCGAAGCCCCGCCUCUUGCGAUCAGGUAUGGGAGAGGGGCGAUUAGGUUUUGGGGCAGAGCUUCCACAUGAUUGUUGGAUCUUUUUCAACGUGGCUACAAAUGAUGAGUUCCCUGACGACUUCUUUCCCGACGUCGACCAACUUCUUCACAACAUGACACUCGGUGAUUGUGCUGUUGUGAUUGCAAACUCUUCUUCUUCUUCAGUUGUGAUGUAUGUUUUCUUAUCCUCUUCAUUAGGGUUUGCGUUUGGUCUACUAGCAGUAGCAGUCGAUAUCGAUAUGAUGCUUAUCCUUUUUAUUAUCUAUUGCAUGCCUAGAUUCAAUAAUCUGUCUCCUAUUUCGAUUGCCAUGUCUAUCAUAUUUUAUCUACAGUUUUUUUGAUUUAAACUUAAUGGAAAAUUGCUCAAUCAUUCAAUAGUUUCCCCUACUGCGACCCAUCGAUGUCGCCGGUUUGCCUCGUCAUGUGUGGCUUUAGGGACAUGGAACUGCGGUAGAUCCUGGCCCUUGUCGGUGGGAGGGCAUCAUUUUUAGGUGUUUUUUUAGUUUCAUUAGGUUUUGUGUUCUGCUUAGGAAGGCGAGGCGGCGGUGGAUACCUGAAGAUAGAAUAAGAUUCUUUCAACCUAACCUCCACCCAGACAGUGUUUAUAGCGUUGUCGAAGGGCGUGUGGAGAUGUGUCUCCGGUGGAUCUCUUGUGAUUCUGUCCGCGUUUUGUCUUUGUUGGAUCUGCUUGGAUCUGGUCUUUGUUUGUUUGCGUUCGUGUGUUACAGGUUUGAUCCUUUCAGUAUAUGCUUCUCUUCGUGGUUGCUAUUAUCGUGCGCUGAUCUUUGGGUGCUUAGGCCCCGUUCGGAUCUUCUCCAGCUUCACGGAACAGCUAGCUUCCCGGGAAGCCAGUCGUCGCUAGUUUCCGAGGGGAGAAAGAUGCGUUCGGCAACACCAAGCAACUCCUCUCGAUCAGAAUGGGCUGACAACCCAGAAAGCGAGCCCAAGGCCCAGUUCGGUGGCUCAUCACAAGAGGAAAACUGUACGAGGAGAAGAAAAAAAAUUCAUGGAUGCCACUUUGGAAGGGCAUUCCAACGCAAUUUAAAGCAACUUCCCCUUCUCGUUUACGCGAACCUGCCCUUUGGCUGCUCCAAAAAUUUGCACUACGAGUCGCUCGUUCUCCAGAAGCGGGAUUCUCGGAGCUGUCCCGUUUGGGUGGCUUCUCGCUGGCUUCUUCGGAAGUUGGAUUGUGGAGAAGAUCCGAACGGGGCCUUAGCAUGAUGACUUCCUGGCUGUCUAGUACAACAAGGUUUGCCCGGCUCCGGCGAGGGAGGUGCGAUCACGGUAGCGCCUCGUCGGCUGGCUCCAGUAUUUGUAGUCAUCGCUACGCAGUCUGCAGACCUAGAUGUAUUUGUUUCUUAUGUGUUAUUUGUAUUACCUUCACAAUUGAUGAAUAAUAGAUUGAUUAUUUUUUAGAAAAAAACAUCUUGAAGUUGCAACCCAAUUUCUUUUUAGGAAUUUAUUGUUCACACGAAUCAAAGCUAUAUCCUUGCAUUCCCUGAAGAAACUUCAAAAUCCAGCAAAAGAAAAGAAAACCAUGAGUUCCCCCAAGUGAUGGGGACCGCUACGCCGCCGGCGGUGGCGAUGGCGACUCCGCCCGCCAUCUUCGCAGCUCAUCGGGCCCCUCGAUGUGUCUCCAGCUUUCUACGGGGGCAGCUGGCUCCCUUCUGCGCCGACAGCCUGCUCCAACACCGACCGCAUCCGCAUCAACGGAUACUCCCCCGUGUCCGGCGGCUCGGCGGCGCAACAGCGGGUGAGUGACCGACCGCCCACCACCAGCCAUUGCUGGGUAGGGGUUUGAUUCUUUGCCUUUUGUUCUGAAAUCACUGACGCGGAAAGGGAUCAACCAUUGUCAGGUCUCAGGUCAGAUCCCUUUCUUGCCACCCCAAACCAAAAAAAUGGGCGAAGGAGAAAGGAAUAACAGGGGCCAUGGCCGUGGGUGGCUUUGCCAGCGACUCAAGCAAGGCACCCUCUUUCUUAUACGGCUUCUUCCGGUGCCCCCGCCAGCGAGCCCAAAGCUAAGCAUCAGCCUGGCUUGUUUAGCCGGCAAAGCAUCCAGAUCCAUCACCAACCAGCAAGGCAGAGCACCACAUUUCAGCCUAAUUGCUACCGUCCUCUUCAACAUCUCCUAGCGAGUCUGGAAGCCAAACACACACACACUCUCUGUUGGAUCACCCAUUAAUUUCUUCGCUGGUCUGAGGACAAAGCAAGGAGAAACCAACCAUGGCCAUGGUGCUGGAAGCCUUUGCGUCCUACAUUGCCGAUACGAUCAAGCAGAUGGCGGCGGACGAGGUAGGGAUGCUGCUCGACAUCACCGGCGAGAUCGACAGCCUGCAGGACAAGCUGGAGAUCCUGAGGGACUACCUCGCCGACGCUGACAGGAAGCGCAUCACCGACCGGAGGGUGCAGGGGUGGGUCACUAAGCUCAAGGGUGUCAUGUACGAGGGGACCAACAUCCUCGACCUCUGCGAGCUCAAUGCCAUGGGUCGGCGGGACGUAGCACCCGCAUCCUACUACAACCCGCUGCUCUUCUGCUUGCGGCACCCCAGGUUCGCCCAUGACAUUGGCAGCCGCAUCAGGAAGCUCAACAAGAGGCUGGACGACAUCUGCAAAUUGGGUGCUGCCUUCAGCUUCAUCAAGCUGGAGACCUACCAGGACUACAGGACCGGCCGACCUUCUGCGGCUGACCGGAAGACGGAUCCGGUGUUGGAACGCUCAGCAUCAUCGGUGAGAAGAUUGAAGAGGAUACAAGAGCACUGGUUGAGGAGUUGACAAAGGAUAACGAUGGUAUCAUGGUGGUCGCCAUCGUCGGUGUCGGUGGGAUCGGGAAGACCACACCCUUGCCAAGAAGGUCUUUAACGACGAGGAAGUGCAACCCAAAUUUGAAAAGAAGAUGUGGCUGAGCGUCGCACAAGACUUCAGCGAGGUUGAGCUGCUAAGGUCGGCCAUCACUGCUGCCAAUGGAGAACUCCCUGCGACUCCAGACAUAUAUAUGCUUGUCCCGGCCCUUCUCAAUGCGGUCAGAAAUAAGAAGUUUUUUCUAGUUUUGGAUGACAUGCGGAGUGAUAGAGCAUGGACCUCAUUACUCAAUCGUCCCUUCAGCUAUGGUGCCCCUGGUAGCCGGAUUGUUAUCACCACAAGAAAUGAUACGGUUGCCCGAGGCACAAGAGCCAGAGAGCGCUACCACUGCAUCGACAAAUUACGGCCCCGCCAACGGCGCCAGAAAAGAGCUUAGUUGACGGGGUAUUAGUGCCGGUUACCUCGCCUCCCCGGCAACGGCGCCAGAAAAGAGCUUGAUGUCUAGUACACAACCUUUUUCUUGUAGACGUUGUUGGGCCUCCAAGUGCAGAGGUUUGUAGGAAAGUAGCAAAUUUCCCUCAAGUGGAUGACCUAAGGUUUAUCAAUCCGUGGGAGGCGUAGGAUGAAGAUGGUCUCUCUCAAGCAACCCUACAACCAAAUAACAAAGAGUCUCUUGUGUCCCCAACACACCCAAUACAAUGGUAAUUGUAUAGGUGCACUAGUUUGGCGAAAAGAUGGUGAUACAAGUGCAAUAUGGAUGGUAGAUAUGGGUAUUUGUAAUAUGAAAAUAUAAAAACAGCAAGGUAACUAAUGACAAAAGUGAGCGUAAACUGUAUUGCAAUGCUAGGAAACAAGGCCUAAGGUUCAUACUUUCACUAGUGCAAGUUCUCUCAACAAUAAUAGCAUAACUGGAUCAUAUAAACUAUCCCUCAACAUGCAACAAAGAGUCACUCCAAAGUCACUAAUAGCGGAGAACAAACGAAGAGAUUGUUGUAGGGUACGAAACCACCUCAAAGUUAUUCUUUCUGAUCGAUCUAUUCAAGAGUUCAUACUAGAAUAACACCUUAAGACAAAAAUCAACCAAAACCCUAAUGUCACCUAGAUACUCCAAUGUCACCUCAAGUAUCCGUGGGUAUGAUUAUACGAUAUGGAUCACACAAUCUCAGAUUCAUCUAUUCAACUAACACAAAGAACUUCAAAGAGUGCCCCAAGGUUUCUACCGGAGAGUCAAGACGAAAACUUGUGCCAACCCCUAUGCAUAAGUUCACAAGGUCACUGAACCCACAAGUUGAUCACCAAAACAUGCAUCAAUUAGAUCACGUGAAUAUCCCAUUGUCACCACAGAUAAGCACAUGCAAGACAUACAUCAAGUGUUCUCAAAUCCUUAAAGACUCAAUCCGAUAAGAUAACUUCAAAGGGAAAAUUCAAUCCAUUACAAGAGAGUAGAGGGCGAGAAACAUCAUAAGAUCCAACUAUAAUAGCAAAGCUCGCGGUACAUCAAGAUCAUGUUGAAUCAUGAACACGAGAGAGAGAGAGAGAGAGAGAGAGAUCAAACACAUAGCUACUGGUACAUACCCUCAGCCCCGAGGGUGAACUACUCCCUCCUCAUCAUGGAGAGCGCCGGGAUGAUGAAGAUGGCCACCGAUGAGGGAUCCCCCCUCCGGCAGGGUGCCGGAACAGGGUCCCGAUUGGUUUUUGGUGGCUACAGAGGCUUUCGGCGGCGGAAAUCCUCAUCUAUGGUGCUCUCGGAUGUUUUCGGGGUAUAUGGAUAUAUAUAGGCGAAAGAAGUCGGUCAGGGGAGCCACGAGGGGCCCACGAGGGUGGGAGCGCGCCCAGGGGGUAGGGCGUGCCCCUGACCCUCGUGGCCACCUCGAAGCUUCCCUGACGUCUACUCCAAGUCUCCUGGAUUGCUUCCGUUCCAAAAAUAACUCUCCCGAAGGUUUCAUUCCGUUUGGACUCCGUUUGAUAUUCCUUUUCUUCGAAACACUGAAAUAGGCAAGAAAACAACAAUUUGGGCUCGGCCUCCGGAUAAUAGGUUAGUCCAUAAACAUCCAAAAUGGGUAAUAUAAUAGCAUGGAUACUUCAUAAAUUAUAGAUACGUUGGAGACGUAUCACCCCUCACAUUAUCUUCGUGGCGUUCAUUGUGGUCAGUGUCAUGCGGCACAUUCUCCAUGUCAUCAUCGCCAUCCCUGUCAAGACCAGCGUCAAUGUAGUAAAAAUUAGUUCUAACAGAAGAAUGAAAACUCAGUAUCAUAUUAAAACAUAGGCGAAGAGUGACCUCAUCCCCACGAUUCUGUGGCGGUGGCUCCAUGAAGUCAUCAUCAUCAUCUUGAUGGUCGCCACGAGCCAUAUUUGCUACAGUAAGAGCAAAAACACAUUAGUGUGAAAUGAAAACACAUCAGACAAAUCCAGAAAGUGAUACACUAAGUAAUGAAUCACUGGAUAUCAUCAUUAACAGAAAAUGAAAACUGCCACAUUUACCCCACAGUUUUAGCAUGUGAAAAGGUUGUAAUUGCCAUGUGCUGAACAUGCACAGACAGGCAAAAAAUAACCAAUUGGACAGCAGGUGCGAAAACAUGGCAACUGGAUAUGUGUUUGCGUCUUAAGAAAGCAGUUGCCAUGUAGGAGAUUCAAUUUGCCAUAUUGGUAAAAUAAACAAUGUGGCAACUGAGGGCAGUACAUCGGAACACCGAACUACCAUUGUCUAACAAUCAGUGUGGCAACUAACACAUUGGCUUAAUAAAAAGCACAUGCCACAUCUACUAAGUUCAGGUUGCCAUGUUAACAAAACAAAAAGAUGUGGCAACUAAGACGCUGAUUGAUUGAUUGAUUUAUUCAGUUGAUCGGAUAUACACAUCCAACACCAUGGGAAUUAAUGUGUUUGUUGGCUACCAACAGUACAUUACAAGAGAAGACAAUAGAUUAGAUGGAUACAUACUCUGCUUUCAGAACUCUGAAUAUAUACUCUGCUCAGUGCGGAGCCAGAAAACUGAAUAUAGAUACUAGUAGAAAAACGACCUUUAGUACUGGUUCGUAAGGACCUUUAGUCCCGGUUCUGUAACCGGCACUAAAUGGUGGGGACUAAAGGUACCCCCCCCCUUUAGUCCCGGUUCAACACGAAUCAGGGCCAAAGGCCCACCACGUGGCACGAGCCCACGCGGUGGUCUGGGGACCUUUAGUACCGGUUGGUAACACCAACCGGUACUAAAGGUUUUUUUUGAUUUUUUUGAAAAAAAAUUGAUUUUUUAUUUUCAAAUUUCUGAAUUAUUUGACGAUUUAGUCUCUAAUCACCCCUCAUCAUUCCAAAUCAUCUAACUUCCCGGCCGGUCACCCAUCCUUUCACUACUCCAGCCUGAGCACGCUUAACUUCCGAGUUCUAUUCCCCCUAGUUCCCAAGUCUGCACUUAUUGUUUACCUAACAAUAGUAAGCUGUCAAUCCUAUUAACCCUCAGGAGUUUAGCUUGAGCAUGAAGUCACAUGUUUCACCGUUUGAGAUUAAAACUAUUAUUCUAAAAAAUAAUUAUUAUUUAGUAACAGUAAUAUUUCUUGAAUAAGUAGUUUGACCAGAUUUGACCAUAGUUUGACCAAAAGUCAAAAAAAAGUAAAAUAAUUAUUUAUUAACACUAAUAUUUCUUGAAUAAGUAGUUUGACCAUAGUUUGACCACAAUUUGACCAGAUUUAACGAAAAGUAAAAAAACUGAAAUUUGAGCAUAUCUUUUUUUCCUUUUAGAAUAUGAGGAUUCUAAAAAUUUGCAAACAGGCCUACGGCCAUCAAAAUCGGAUGCAUAUUUUCAUGCUGAUUUUUUUGAUAUAUUAAGCAUUUUUUUCGACAUCGUAUGCAAAAGAUAUGGCCGUUUUCCUUUUUCAUAACACUUUUUUGCAAAACAUGUCCAAAUUUAAGCUUUUAAAUUUUCCUAACUAGUAGAUGUAGUAACAUAACUAUAUCUCGAAGGAUUUUAAUUUUUGAAGUUUUCAUCAUUUUCUUUUGUUUUUUACAAAACAGAAAUGGCGAUACACUGGGGGGUAGAGUUUCAAAAUUGGGCUUUAGUCCCGGUUUGUGUCUCCAACCGGGACUAAAGGUUAGACCCCUUUAGUCCCGGUUUGUGACACCGGGACUAUAGGUUAGACCUUUAGUACCGGUUCGUGUCACAAGCCGGGACUAAAGGGGCUCGUGGGGCCCCGGCCUGAUGCCAGCCUGCCCCCACCCCUUUAGUACCGGUUCAUGACACAAACUGGUAAUAUAUGUUCAACACGAACCGGGACUAAUGCAUAGCCGUUCGAACCGUCACUAACCAUUAGUGCCGGUUAAUUUACAAACCGGGACUAAAGGGCUGAACAUUAGGCCCUUUUUCUAGUAGUGAGAUGGGGCCAAGACAUGUCAUAUAAUGCCAGCGAGGACCAAAUCUCCUAAACAUAGCUAGUUUUGUCUGACAAAUGAAGGAUUAGGAGUACAUAUAUGUGUACUAUUGAGAACAUAGGGGAGGCCAAGGCCCCCUGCCAGCACCCCUGCCUCCGCCACUGACUCUGCUUUGCUCUUCUCGGAAUAUGUAUAGAAUGAAGAAUGUGCAUGAGAAAAUCAUGAAUAGCAGAUGUGUGCCAGUCCACAACAUGUAAUGUGGCAACUCACACAUUGGCCUGGUGGAAAAAAAAGAGUUGCCAUGUACUGCAGUCAAAUAUGUUGUGCUAUCACAGAACAGUAUGGCAACUAAGUGAGUACAUGGUACAUAAAAAACUACCAUCACUCUACAUAUGACAUGGCGACUGUCAUACUUGAUUUUCAGAAUUAGUUGCCACUUAGAAGGAUAGUUGAUUCAGAAACACAACUAUCACUCCCUGAAUUUGGUUCUCAUGAAACUGCCAUUAUCCUACACAGAACAUGGCAACGGACAGAGUUCAUUCAGAAAAUUAGUUGCCAUCAACUGACAGAGUCCAUUUGAUGAAAUUUCCAUGACCGCCAUGAUACUAUACAUUGAAAUGCACCUACCUAGAUCUAGGUCUCAUACACAACUAUCAAACCCCUCAAUUCGACAGCAACAUUGCCCUAAAACAGUGAAGAUCGUAGCCUUCGAUACAAAAAUCGCAACUAACAAAUGGAAACAGAAACCCUCACGCAUCUAAUCGCAUCAAUCUAAUUGCCACCCCGGGCGAGCCUCACCGGCUUGAGUACCACCGCGAGGGCGACGGGGCUGCACAAUGCCGCCGUAAAUUAGCACACGCACGACUCCCCCGACGACGAGGACGCCAGAGUUGCCACAAAUCCGCCUGAAUCUCCGGGGGAGGGGAGAGGGGGGCUCGAGAGAAGUGAGACCAAGGAGGAAGGGGGAGAGUACAAAAGCUUCCACGGUCCUACCUCCUCACUUCGGCUGCUCUGGCGACGCCGCUCCGGUUCGGCGAACACAAGCAACGGUCGUGAAUGUCGUCGACUCUUCCGCCGGCGCCGCAGGCUCCUUUUCUCGUCCUCUCCUUCAAUCGAGCGGAACUACUCUGUAAUGUUGGUUGGGGGAAUGAAUGAGACGGGCAGAGGCAAUGAGGGGGGCAGUGGCCAGUCGAGGGAAACGGCGACAGAAGUCGUGCGCCACGCGUGCGGGCGCGACGGCGGUUCCACCACACACCUCCGACUUGCAACUGUUGACGACGGAGUGGUAAACGCGUGCGGGCGAACUGCUGCAUACACCGCACGUCGCCCAUGUCCUAUGUGGCAACUAAAAAUUGUGUCAUCACGCCAAGAUUCGUGCAGGUUACAAUGGACGGCGAUAAAGGUGUGUGGGCGGGUUGGAGAAGUGCCACGCGUGUGGCAGUUAGUCUUUUCGUUAUUGUUUCUAACCAUAGCAGUGUCCUCGACUAAUCUGAUUGAUCUUAAGCGUGUGCCCGCUCCUUGGCCAGGCGGCCGCAAGUCCUUGGCAUUUUGCGGUGGCGGAGACAGUUAUCUGUCUCGUCCGGGGUCAAGAAUCAACACGGGACACCGCAGACAGCCUCAUGCGCAUCGGAGUCAGAGGGAAGGGGCACCAGUGCGGAUCUGCAUGACCCGCAAAUGGACUGGCUACAUCCGGCCCGGGCCACUUUCCUUAUGCGACGAGCUUCCCACACCUCCGGCUUGGGGGAGCCACGAGCGCGGCUUGGAGGUUCCGGGACCUACACCCGACGCCUGCCUGGAGGAGCAGGGCCAGUGGUGACGGGCGUCACUGCACAGCCGACUGCCUCACUGAGGAGAGCGUGGACCGCUACUAGCCGGCACGGAGGUGGCACGGACUGCGAUGAGCUUCCACCAAUAUCCAUCCAUGACCGACGGAGGGUGGCGUGGAUGGCCUGCUCCUCGUCUGACUAUCCUACGAGGGUGUCCUGGUCCAUAGGGUCGAGUUCAGAUGAGGAGCCGCUGUCGGAUCCAGUGAUGAUGGCGAUGGCGCCCCCCUGAUCGAUGGGUUGUGUUAUCUAUGUAUGGAUUGUUCAUUUCUUCGAAAGACAGUGCGGGGUCUGGUAUGAUUCUACCAAACUGAUCCGAAGAUGUUAUGUAUGCAUCUCGCCACAUUUUGUUCAACUGCGAUGAGUUCACUCGUAGCUAAGCUUAGUGCUCUGCUGGAAGGUGUUGCUUUGGCAGCUUAGCAUAUCAAGGCAGCAAUGAUCAUCUAAUCUGACUGCUCAGUUGCAUCGAAUGUUAUAACUAAUUGCGAUCUUGAUUCCUACUAUGGACAUCUUAGAGCAUGGUUAAUAUUACAGCCAACAACCGGCUAUAUGAAGUUGCCAUGUCACAUAUAACCACCUAAUCGCCCACUUGUUAAUGUUAGCUAUAAACAUUUACUACUUUAUCACUGUUUGACCCACUAUCUUGUCUCACCAGUUUUUUGGAGCUCAUGCUGCAGCUGGCUACUAAUCUACAGUCUGCUUCUCUUCUCCAACUCAGCAAAAUUAUAAUAUUCAGAUCCUUAUAUCCUGCUUACAUCAUAUUAUUACACUUGCUCUUAUGAAUGAAAUUCUAGUUACUUUGGAAGACCGUGAGUUUGUCCUCCAGAAACUAGAUUGUGAGAAAAUUAGGGUCAGGGGUACAUUCAUUUUCUUUUCUUUUCUAUUAAUAUUUGCAUAAGCUGUUGGAUGUUAUUAAUUGGGAAGUUAUUGUUGUGAUCCCCAUCCUCUACGUGCAGAUAUGAAGGGCACGACGGUCUGCACGUCGUGUGUUGUUAUGAAACACUGCACAAUCGGUCAAUGCCAGAAAAACUGUUCAGCGCGUGGAUAUGAUGAGGAUAGAAGCACUUGUGUAUCCUUCGAAGGUGACAACUGUUGCUGCUUCAAGAAGGGAACACCGCCACCAAGAUGAUAUACAAACCAUCCUUGCUAAUGUCAAAUAAGACUAUUUGAUGUAACUGAUGUAGAAAUAAACUUUAAACUUCACUCCAUGAAUGCAAGGAUUA